GACCCCUUGCAGCUCUUUUCCUCUCUCCUCCUUCUCCUGGUCUCCUCCUUCUGACUUCUCCAGGAACACCACUAGGAGAAGCCUCACAGGUGGCACAGAACCCCAGAAUUCACUAGCCCCUUCCCUGCGAUGUCUAGAAUAAAAUAUUGUGGCCGCCCAGGCAAGCCCUGUCCUGCAGAACUGAUCACAUGAUGCAGUGUAGAAUAGCAAACCCAUUAACGUGGGGGGGGGGGCAGCCACCUCAAAUAUUUUAUUGUGGGGGCCAAAGCCCACACAGCUCCUAGGAGUUAGCUCCUAUGCCCCUACAUCUCUGACAAAUGUUCCCCCCAACAAAUGUUGCAUUUGGAAAAAACACACGAUACAACACUCAUUAUUGGCCAUAUAUAUUUAUUUUAGACAUGCUUCAAUGACCUCAUUUGAACAUGAAAGUCAAAUACAGCCUUUCCUUGAGGAGGAGCUUCUAGAAUUCUGGAAAUAAAGCCUAGGAGGCUUCAGGCUGAGACCUCCCCUGAUUCAAGCACAAGGCAGCCAAUUUCCCUAAAUUGUGGGUUCUUCUGGAAGUUGGAGAUUUGCUUUCUCUCUCUCAGCUACAGUUCAUAGACAGAGCGUUUUGCUAAGGUGCACUCUGCUCUAGCGGUCUGGAUGCUGUAAUUUGCAAACUCAAUGUUUGCUCCACUGAUGAAGUUACACAUAUAUUCCGUCGUACAGCCUCGGGCAGCAGCCUUUAGCUUGGUAUUCCCUGUUGGAAUGAAACACACAGGUGCUUUUUGUGGGAUAUAAAGCUACAAGUCAAGUCCAACAUUCCGCGAGAGGACUAACUGCCUCUAUGUGGCAGGCAGUUUUGUCAGUUGGUCUGUUGGUCGGUUGCUGCAAGGAGUGUUAACUGGUAACUGCUCGGAUGCAGUCUUCUCAUGAUUCACUACUAUCUAGUAUAUAGUUUAUCUGUUGUGUAACCUAAGCCUGCCUUCAGGAACAACUCUGUAAACCUGAAUGAAUCUGAUAGUAAAGUAGUUUAUGUUAAUAUGAUCCAGAUUCAUGUUUGUUUUCUUUAAGAGGGACAGAAAGGGAUUAUCAACCAGGAAGGUAUAAUUAUUGAUAAAAAAACCAGAAACGUGUGUGGGCAAUCCAGUGAGGACAAAGCAUUCAGGUAGGGUAUAAAGUGGGGCUUGUGAGGGGUGUGGCCUAGGGAGAGGAGGUGUGGCUAAGUAGGAUUCGAAGGGCCAGAGAGAGAGAGUCCUAGAGGGACGCCUUUGGUCCCUAGACAUGAGGGGCCCUCCCCAAUUAAGAUCCAAAUUUUAGGAUGUAUUUUUAUUUAACAAAAUCAAUAUACCAUGUGACUGCAGUAAAAACCACUAGGGGUUUACAAGAAAUAUUAACAUUAGCGAUACAAGCAGUUAAAACUAUUAAAAUAUUUAAAACUCAUUAGAAUGAACAGCAAAAGGGAAUAGAGUGCGUCCAAUCUACAUGUCUGGAUAAAGUAAAGGUAAAGGGACCCCUGACAAUCAGGUCCAGUCGUGACCGACUCUGGGGUUGUGGUGCUCAUCUCGCUUUAUUGGCCAAGGGAGCCGGCAUACAGGUUCCAGGUCAUGUGACCAGCAUGUCUAAGCCACUUCUGGCGAACCAGAGCAGCGCACGGAAACGCCGUUUACCUUCCUGCUGGAAGGUAGACCUAUUUAUCUACUUGCACUUUGAUGUGCUUUCGAACUGCUAGGUUUGCAGGAGCAGGGACCGAACAACGGGAGCUCACCCCAUCGAGAGGAUUCGAACCGCCGACCUUCUGAUCGGCAAGUCCUAGGCUCUGUGGUUUAACCCACAGCUCCACCCACGUCCCACAUGUCUGGAUAGGCGUGUCUAAACAAAAAUGUUUUAAGGAGUUGCUGGGGGAAAAUGGAAUAAACAGCUACAGGAUUCCAGGUGGAAAUUCAUCAAGGUUUAUCGACAAUCUUGCAGUUUUCAGAACAACACAAUAUGGAACACUAGUUCCAUAUGCAUCUGGCUGUCACCAGUAUGUUCCUGGCAGCUGUCCACCACUCAUAGAGCAGUCUAUUCUGCCUGCUGCACUUCAGGUUCCAGUGGAACUCUAUGGUCCAGUUCUUAGUUCAAGCUAAAGCGAUGGAGAACUAAGAUUGUGGAUUACAAACUCCCAGCUUGGUCUGGUAUUGGGGGUGACAGCAGCAGCCUGGGACUGAUUACAAGCUACCUAAGUUUUGAGAGUCACAAGAGCUCGUCUUGCUCUGCAGAGUAGCAUUAACCAUCCUCCCUUGGCUAAGCCUAAUUCCCAGAGUGGUUUAACAAUCAACCCCUUUUCCAAGAAAAUCAUGAAAUGGUAGCUCUGUGUCCUGAACACACCCAGGGGUCAUCCAUUCUGCUGGAUGUGUAAGAGGAAAACCAAUCGGAAUUGUGCUUUCUAGGCAUGGAACAAGUGGAAGUGCAGGGAGGAUCCACAGUUUCCAAAGCUAUGACUCUCUCUGGGAGCACCACAAGUUCUCCAGACUCUGAGGGAGGGUGGAUGAAUCGGAAGAAAAAGAGAUGUCCUGCAAUCUUCUCCUGCCUCUUUCUCCUGCUUUGUAUUUGGCUUCCUGGUCUCCCCCUCCUGACUCCCCUCUUCCACCACCACCAGGAGCUGCCUCACGGGGGGCACAGAAAUCCACAAAUCACUAGCCCCUCCCCUGGAUGCUCCUCCACCCAAUUCCUCUGGUCACCAAUCCCUCCUCCUUGGGCUCUUGACUAUCCCAGACACACUGUGAGGGGAGCAGCGUCUCCGAAUAACUUUCAGCACCCUUGCCAGCAUGUUUUUUGGAUAAGCCUGACUGUUCAAGGUGGCGUGAUACUGCUUUAAAUGCCCUAGCUGCACUCACCGGAUGCAGAGACUCACCAAGACUGAUGCUACCCCCAUAGUAGAAGCAGUGGUCCUCGUUAUUUCUGCAGCUGAUGGUUUUCUUGGACUGGCACUGAUCGCUUGUGAAGGAGUAGCAACUUGGGCACUUCAGCCCAUUGAGCUCCCUCUCCUCAGGCUCUGGCACUGUAAAUCAAUCACCACAGCACCCCAACCUUGCAGUUAGUUUGCAGCUUCCAACCACAUCUGGCUGUAUAUGAGGGGUGGGAAUUGUGCUCCCCCUUCCAAGAGGGAUGUGUACCAACUCCCAGCACUUCUCCAAGUUCAGUGCUGUAGCCUUGCUCCAUUCAUCCAGGGCUACAUUAAGGCAUGGUGCAAGUGAUUUCUGACUGGGGCCACAUUCACAGCAUACAUUUCAAGCACAAGGAUACUGCUUUAAGCAAUUGGGCUUAGCACUGAGCACCAUUGGAGGGCAUUCUGAGAGACUAAGUGGUAGCCACAGAUACACACAAGAUGGUGAUGAAAUUCUAGAAAAUGGCCCUCUUUCUUAGAGAGGGGAAGAAAAAGAAAACUCUUAGCAGUUUCCUCCUUAAAAAAUCUCUUCUGGAAAAAGAUGUGCUUAGUUCUAGGUGAAAUUACAAUUUCACCUAGGAAAAAAUGGUAGAUGGUGAUGAUGAUGAUGAUAAUAAUAAUAAUAAUAAUAAUAAUAAUAAUAAUAAUUUAUUUAUACCCCGCCCUCCCCGGCCAGAACCUGGCUUGGUGCGACUAACACCAAUAAAAUUACAAUAUAAAGUAAAAGAAAAAGAAAAAACAGUUAAUGAAAAUACAGGUUAAACCUGUAAGAUCCCUUUGUGGACCUUACCUACAGAAGCACAGGCAGUUAAGAAAAAGAAUAUGGACACAUACCAAUUAUUAGUAGAAGGACAACAGGAUGAACGUAUACUGAAAAAAUAUGGAGAAAUUAAAGGGCACCUAACAGACUGGCUGCAAUAUUUUAAAUUCAUCAAAGAUUAACCAUUGAUCAAAAAGCAGGACUUGCAAAAGAAACAUCAGAAUUUGAAAAAGCAUUGAUACAAAGUAAAGGAAAAUAUAUCUCACGUGUAUACGACCCCCUAUUGGAAUGGGAGGUAAAGGAAGAACAAGUGAAAGCUGUAAUGGUGAGAUGGGCGCAAGAUUUGGGUUAUAAUAUUUACAUGGAACAAUGGGAAAAAUUAUGGCGGGAAGACAUAAAAUUCAUGGCCUGCUACCCUCACCGGUUCUGGAAGGUUCCUAUAGAAGGGUCCUGUACGCACAGAGACUUUGCACCUGCCCAUUAGGGGAAAUAGGAAGCCUUGAACAUAUAUUUUUUAGAUGUCCUUUUUAUGUUGAGAUUCGUAGAGACACCAUCAAUCCUUUGCUGAAGAGGCUCGCCGAUCUUUCAGACAAGUCUAAACUUAAUUCUCUCCUCUUAGGCAAAGGUCAUAAGACGACCUGGCUGGUAGCCAGAUUCUGCACCCAGAUUUGUAGGCACAGAUCAUCCUCUAGAAUAAAAUAGCUUACUAGGGAAAUGCUGAAGUUGCCCUUUGAGGCGCCUCAGGGUCAAUUUUUUAUGGUAGCCCAAAUCUCAGUUGUACGGGUGUAUGUAUAUAUCACAAUUUUAACUCAUGAGCUGCAAUCUGCCCCAACUGUAUAUUUUAUCUUUAUGAACACUGUUUUUAUUGUGUUAUGUUAUGUGAGCUGGUCUUUGACCAUAAUAAAUUAUCUAUCUAUCAGUAGGUUAGGGAAUUCCAAGGCCCAGCCGGCCACCACAUCCAACAGGCCUGACAGGGUGGCUGCUGCUGCACUAGGUGGUCAGUACACCAGCCAGACAGCCAAACUCUCCUUGGUGCCCCACACUAGGCCAACACGUUCAGUGCUGGAGACUGAUGGUGAUAAUAAGAGCUCUUUUGUGGGGGUUGAUUGCUAAACCGUAGCUCAGUGAGUUUCCUAUCAACUCUCAGCACCCUUAACAAACUACCACUCCCAUAAUUCUUUGUUAUAGUGCUGUAAAUAACAGUAUAAACCAAGGUGGGGGGGGAUUGCUAAAGGGAAGUACGUAGUGCUGCGUGUGUGGUAAUUCCCCCCCGCCUUUGACACUCGUUUCCAGCCUGCAAGGUGUGCUCUACUGUGUUGGUGGCAGCAGCAGCAGCAGCAGAAGGUAAAGCAUUCGUUGGAAGCUGCCUCUAUUGACCCUGUGGAUCCUGCUCCCUGAGGAGGUCAUCUCACCUUGCCUAAUACUACUACUACUAAUAUUUAUACCCCGCCCAUCUGGCCGCGUUUCCCCAGCCACUUUGGGCGGCUUCCAACAAGAUAUUAAAAUGCAACAAUCUGUUAAACAUUAAAAGCUUCCCUAAACAGAGCUGCCUUCAGAUGUCUUCUAAAAGUCUGGUAGUUGUUUUUCUCUUUGACAUCUAGUGGGGGGGGGGCGUUCCACAGGGCGGGUGCCACUACCGAGAAGGCCCUCUGCCUGGUUCCCUGUAACUUGGCCUCUCGCAGUGAGGGAACUGCCAGAAGGCCCUCGGUGCUGGACCUCAGUGUCCGGGCAGAAUGAUGGGGGUGGAGACGCUCCUUCAGAUAUACUGGACCGAGGCUGUCAUGGGUGGGCUGGCUCUGCACCCGGACUAACUGCUUGCUUUCCCCUUCCUCCGUAGGGCUAAUAGUGACUUAGGACAACAUCUUCAAAUAGGGAAAAUGGAACAAGAGGUGAGGGAAGGAUUUGUGUAGGUGGCACAGGAGCCCAUGGUAUCUAAUAUAGUUUUAUUAGCAUUUGCUUUAGAAGGAUGCAAACCUGAAGAAAUUAAAUUCCUCACACAGAAACGGGAAAGGAGUCUGUCCUGCUAAAAAUAGCUCUAAAAAUGCAUCAAAGAAAGAGGAGGAGUCUAGGUUUUGGAGGAAGGGCUAGAGCUCUGGGAAACCAAUGAGACAGUGUGAUGUAGUGGUUAGAGGGUAGGACUAGAAUCUGGGAAACCAAGGUUCAAAUCCAUGCUCAAGCCAUGACGCUUGCUGGGGGACCUUAUGCCAGCCACCAUCUCUCAGCCUGACCUGUUUCACAGGGUGUUUUGAAUCUAAAAUGUUGAGCUCUUUGGAGAAAAGGGUAAAUAUCCGAAGCUGCUGCAGGAGAGGGACUGUGAAUAAUAUCAGGCGAGGUUGGCCUGGCCAAUCCAGAGGCAUCAUAGUGCCUCACCAGUCACACUUCAGGAGGCCUCAAUAUGUAGUUCAGCGCAGCCUAACUUCAAGUUUUGGGGUUCUCAGUUCAAAUCCCAACCCAAGCUUCUGUCUUCAGUUUGAAAAGGGCUGGAGGCAGGAGGGCGGGAGGCAGACUCUGCUGAGAGGCCUGCCUUUCACGUCCAUGGUGUCCCCGCCUCUCUUCCUCUCCCCAAGGGGAAGGUGAGUUGCCUCUGCCCUGCCUGGAAAUGGCUCCUGUCAGGGUUGGGUGGCAGUGAUGUUGGUGGGGUUUGGGGAGGGGUCUUCCCAGCAGGGAGAGGGAAGCGAAUGCACCUGGGGCAACCAGCCCUCUUGAAUCCCCCACUGCUGCUGCUACUUACGUUCAAGAGUUUCACUGUUGCACAUAUCUGUGUUACAGCAGUAGGUCUUGAUCAACAUGUACAUAGUUGAUGUUACGGUGAGACUGGAAUACUCUGUGAUGCAAUACAUUGAAUACAUACAGGACUUGAAAACAAAUUUUCUCCCAAAAAUACCUAUAGAAGAAAGAAUUGGAAGAAAAUAACUACACCUGGAGAUAUGGCUCACCCACACAAGGGGAAAUAUCCCCCAGGGGCAGCCUCCUAUGAAAGCAUUGAAGGCUGCUGCCACCUUUGCAGCUGUGGUUCAUUUCUUGGAGGCCAGAUCUUCCACCUCCUUGGCAGCCCCUCCAAAUGCCGCCUCUGUAAUGGCCUCUUGGCAAUUAGGAGUUGCUGCUAGUCUCCUCCCAGCCUUGUUGCCAAUGUACAUCUUUAUUCCCACACAAUUCCAGUGUAGAUCCCCAUUCCCACCCCCUUGUUCCUGAUGUAGAUCUUCAGUCCCCCCUUCUUCCCUGCCUGGCCGCUGGGCAGCAUUUCAUGGUCCGCCUGAGGUGUCACAAUAUCUUAGGCUGGCCUGGCCUGGAGUGGAAAGAGAGACCUUCAGUUUUAUCUAUUUGUUGAAUGUGAGGCAGGGAUGGAGAACUUUUGAAAAGUCCUCAUGAAAAUUCAACAGCAGAGAAUGCUGUUUCUCUUCCAGUCAAUACCAGUGAUAGGCAAGACAGGACACCUCAAGGAAUGGCAAAAGGGUAUUUCUAGAUUCAUCUGGCAGGGGAACAGAUCUAGAAUAAAAUAUAAAUUACACGACUGCACAACUGGAUUGCAAAAAUGGGAGAAGUGUGGAUGUGGAAGGAGGGCUUUGUUUGGCUCUGCAUAUUGUUUUGGAAAGAGCCAAGUAGGUAAGCUCACCUUCAAAUGUGAACUGACUUGAAUUUCCCUCUGUUUCCUACAUGGAAUACAGGAUCUAGAACACUGCUUUAUGAAAAGCCACACCUUGUGGUUUAUAGCUAAGAUAUGGCCUUAGAAAGUGAGUCUGGGAAUUUAAGUUUUGGUGGUCAAAAAGGCUGAAAGUUCUUCUCACUUACCCAUUUUGGCGUCUCCAAUGCCAGAUACGCAGAACCGAUUUAUCCUUGUAUUACACUCCUGUAUGAUGGAGUUUUUGCAAUCUUUUCCUUGACUGAGACAGAACUCACAAGUCAGAGAGGCCGCUACAGACAUGGGGAGAUGGGUUUAGAAAACCUUAGCACCAUCCACAUAUGGGAAAUAGGUACAUUAAGGUACAUCAACAUGACAGUUCCUCCUACAAAGCCCAUCUCAUGAGGGGCAGUGAAGGCCACCAACUUGGAUGGCUUAAGAAAAGGAAUAGAUAAAUUCAAGGGGGUUAAUAAGUCUGUUGCUGGCUUCCAGCCUCAAGAGAUAUUUUAUCUCUCUAACACUGUAGGCACUAUUAGAUCCUGCUUGCGAACUUCCCAUAGGCAUCUGGUUCACCCUGGUGAGAACAAGAUAGUGGACCAAACGGGCCAUUUUUCACUUAUGCAGUGCUGUCUAUAUAUAUUUCCUCUGUAGUUCUUAAGCUGUGUGUGAAUGGGGGCUGAGUCUUGGACAGACUAGAGAAUGAUUGUCCUAGGUGGUUCCUGCAGUCUGAGAGAGAGGACCUGUAGGGCCUGAGGAAACCUUUGACAUUCCACAAGUAGCUGAACUACAACUCCCAUCAGCUCCAGAAAGCAUGACCAAUGGCUCUGGAUGAUGGGCACUGGAGUUUGUCAAAGAUGCUCCACAUGUGCACUAGCAGAACUUAAAAAGGAAAGGUCUAUUUAUUUGAGAAGUGUUGAGGAGAUAAAACCUAAUGGAGGAGGUGGGGGUGGGGCUAAGCUUUAAUAUGUGAGUACCUGAAGGAUGAAUUUUAACAUAUUGCCUAUUGAAUUGAAAAUGAAUUAUGGGCAAGCAGCUCAGUGGAACUGGAAUAACUAGCUUUCACCUUUUCCCUUGCCCGCUGUAGAAAAUCAACCAGCGUGACCAAGGCAGUUUCAGUCCCAUCAUAUGGCCUGAAUCCUGAUUGGAAGGGAUCCAAAUGGUCUGCAUCCUCCAGGCAUGCUUGGAGUUGUUCAGCAACCACCCGCACAAUCACCUUGCCCAAGAAUGGAAGAUUUGAGACUGGGUGAUAGUUGGGCAUACUGGCCGGGUCUAAAGAUGUUUUUUUAAGAAGUGGUUUAAUGACCGCCUCUUUCAGCGGGUCUGGGAAUGCUCCCUCACAGAGGGAAGCAUUCACCACCCCACAGAGCCCAUCACCCAGCCCUUCCCGGCUUGCUUUUAUUAGCCAGGAUGGGCAAGGAUCAAGGAGACAGGUGGUUGGUUUCACUUGUCCAAGCAACCUGUCCACAUCCUCAGAGGUAACAGAUUGGAAUUGAUUCCAUGCAGCUCGACUAGACAAGACUCUAGCACUCUCCUGCCCGACCCUGCUGCCACGGUGGAGUCUACCUCCGUCCAAAUCUGAGCAACUUUAUCUGCAAAAUACUUUAUUGUUGUAGGAGAUCUUGGGGUCUUUACAAGGCCCUAGUGGCAAAGAUGGUUCCGUUAAACUGUGAACCACCUGAAAAAGUCUCCUGCUGCAAUUUUCUGCAGAUGCAAUAGAGACAGUCUUUUUUGAUGUUGCUAUCGCCACUUGGUAGGCUCGACAUUGAGCUCUAACCUAUGUAAGGCUGAUGAUAGUCAGUCAUUAAUUCAUUAAGAAGGCCAUUAAGAGAAACUCUUUGGGCCAGAUAGAAAAUGGGGAAAACACCUACCUGAGGUGAGUAGUAGAGAAAAAAGGACAGAGUUUCAGAGGAAGUUGCAGAAUCUGAGUGGGCGAUGAGGUAAACAAACAGAAAAAAGUGCAAGAAACAUAUUCUUUGUUGUAGAUGAAAGCUAGGAUUCUGGUUAUCGAAGAGUGGACAACUGCCUCCCUUACUCCCCCAAUGGACUUUGGGAUACUAAACCUCUCAGUAUGUAUUUGGUUAAAUAAAAACAAAUACAACAAACAAUCUAUGAUUGAGGAUCCCUUGUAGCUUGACCAUAUGGUUUAUUCCUCUACUUUUCAAAGGAGCCACAAGUUCUGGUUCCUUCUCCUGCUUUAAUGGCUGACCCCCCCCCACUUAGUUCCUUCCUGGAAACAGGAUGAACUGCCCAGCAGCUGUGGUUCUGCUCACCUGGAUUCAGAAGGGUCAAGAGGAGGCAGGAGAUCAGGAGUGUCUUCAUCAUUCUAGAGAGCUGAAGAGCCAGGAAGGAGUUUGAGAACCGCACUGGGCCAAGCAAGGAACUGAUGCAGGAAGAGGCUUAGUUGGAGGAAUUUAUAGAAGAUUGCAAGAAGCACUUUGCCAGCAUCCAGGAACAACGGAUUCAGGACAGUGUCAUAAAUUACUAGAAUUCUAAUUCUGCUAUACCAUAAUGUAAAGCACAGUUCUGAAAACAAAUUAAAUAUCUUCCCCCUUCCAAGUACUCCAAGGACACGUCCCUCCUAAUCUGUGCCAGCCUCAAUUUCAUGUCCCUACUAAUCUAGAUUCUAUUUUCUGAGACAGAGACAGAGAGAGAGAGAUUGCUUGUGCUUUUGUAAUUCAAGAAAAUAUUCAAUAAAAAUUGAAAAAUUCAAAAACAGCUGCAGACCCAAGGUUGGGAAACACUGGCCUAGAGGACCACAGGUUCUCAUUCCUGAUAUAGGAACUCUUUAAAGUCUGCUCGGAUUUUCAUCAUCCUGAGGAGAGGCUAAAACCCCCUCAACCCUGGCCAGCUCAUCAACAUUUUUGCACCUGCGAAACAUUGGUAGAGUUAAAACAACACCCACCCACACCCUAUUAAAACCAUGGCAAUGAUUGCAAUAAAAACAUCGUGGCACCAGCUCUUCAUUUAAAGUGGUCAGUUCCCAAAAGCCCAUUGGAACAAAUUACAUGCUUUAUUAUCCCUAAUGACAUCUAUACAUCAGCUAUUUUGCUGUCUUGAGAAGUCCGGAGGAGGAGAGAAACCUGGGGGGUGGAGUUGGAAGCAGAGUUUGAGAAUACGACUGUGGGAUGAUCACAGAAUCAUAGAUUUGGAAAGGACCUUUGAGGGACAUGUAGGCCAACCCCCUGCAACUGAGGUACCUCAACUCAAGCAGCCUCAACUUCAAAGAACUUAAGGCUUCCCUGCUCCAAUUUGACUUCUGCAGUCCCGGCCAUCAGGGACAUGCUCUCGUUCACGUUCAACUGCCUGGCUCUGCGCCAGCUCCUCCACCGCUCCAGUUGGCCGAGGGUAUCAAAAUCAUCUCACUCCUCCGCAUCUUGCCCAGCAGAGAAACCGUGCACCUUGCGCCCCUCCUGGACAAUGGCGCGCCACCCGUCCGUGACUCCUGAGCCUCCCCCGAUCUCCUGCCCCCUUCCCCCUUUGUUUUGAGAGUUUCACAGGGUGCGAAAGAAGAGCUUUGCACCUUGCCCAACAGAGAAACCGUGCACCGUGCGCCACUCCUAGGCAACAGCCGCCCACCCACGAUCUCUCAAAAUAAACGGGGGAGGGGACAGGAAAUUGGGGGAAGCUCAUGAAUCAUGGGUGGGUGGCGCGCUGUUGCCCUUAUGUGACACCUCAAGCACUGAGAUCCUUUAAUUGGGGCAAUUCUUGUAGCUCCCUGCACCCCUGAGGUUUAGUCAGCCUUCAAUUAAUAGGAAGCCGUUAGUGCAACAGGACAGAGAAAAGCUGUUAUUCCUUUCUCGUAACACUAGGAGUUUUGGGCAGCCAAUGACAGUGAAUGUUGAAGAUUUGAGAAAGAUGGAAGAAAGUGCUGCUUGAAAUAGCACAUAGUUAAACUCUGGAAUUUGCUCACAGGAAGUAAAGAUGGAUGUGUUUGAUGUGUUUGGUUAAGGAUUAGAAGAAAAUAAUGGAGGAUAAGGCUAUCAAUGGCUACUAACCAAGUUGGCCAUGUUCUUCCUCAAGUGUUGGAGACAGUAUUCCUCUGAAUGUCAGUUGCUGGGAAGCAUAAGGGGUUAGAGUGGUGUUGCUGUCCAGUCCUGCUUUGAGGCUUUGCACAGGCACCUGGCUGGCCAUUGCGACAACAGGGUUCUGGAACAGCUGGCCUGGUUCAGCAGGCUGAUGUAAGCUCUAGCCAGUGGAAGCUUGUGGGAAAUAUAACAUUUGGCCAAAUCUUGAUUGCUCACCCAGUGUACCCACUGAAGGCGAGUGGAUUCACAAUGUACUUGCUGAAGAAACAUGGUUUCACAAUUUCUUUCUAAAAUCACCAAGCUGCUCAUUUGCCUGAGUAAGGGAAGCCAAAGGAGAGAGAAAAUUGGGAAACUUUGGAGGCCUUUAGUAAUGUAUGCCAUGAGAGGGAAACCUCUGACCUGGGGGCCAAAUGCAGCCACUGCCUGCCCCUCCACAGGGCCAAGGAAAGGGGGUGGGUCAGGUGGUACAUCGUUCCUCUGCUUGGGGUCACAAGGGGGACCUCCAAAAAUGUUUCCAUAUAUUGCGUGAAGACUAGCAUUUCCAUUUUGUGUAAGACUACCUAAUAUGCCCCGAGGCCUCUUCCUCCCUCUGCUUCCUCUUCUGCCAACAUGCCUCUGCCUACUUGUCCCCAUGGAAACAGAGAGGUGGCACUGAGGUCCUGGUGAAAGAUAGCGUGACUGGGCAAGGUGAGAGGUGAGUGAGAAGGUGGACUUUCCUUGCCUCUCCUGUGGACGAUGUGCUCCGCCUUCUGAGGGGACUGCCAUCCGCCUGUGAAGUGUGGGAUAUUUACCAUGCAGCCAAACCAACAGUGCAUGUUUGCUACAUAGGCAAAUGACAGGAGCUGAAGCCCUCCGAGUUCCUUCCUGAAAGUUUCCCAGAACGAACUCUGAGAGACACUCCCACCGCUCUGGGGAGGGUGUAGGCAUUUAGUCAUGUCCGAUUCUUCAUGACCCCAUGGACCAGAGCACGCCAGGCACUCCUGUCAUCCACUGCCUCUCGCAGUUUGGUCAGACUCAUCUUGGUAGCUUCAAGAACACUGUCCAACCAUCUCGUCCUCUGUCGUCCCCUUCUCCUUGUGCCCUCCAUCUUUCCCAGCAUCAGGGUCUUUUCCAGGGAGUCUUCUCUUCUCAUGAGGUGGCCAAAGUAUUGGAGCCUCAGCUUCAGGAUCUGUCCUUCCAGUGAGCACUCAGGGCUGAUUUCCUUCAGAAUGGAUAGGUUUGAUCUUCUUGCAGUCCAUGGGACUCUCAAGAGUCUCCUCCAGCACCAUAAUUCAAAAGCAUCAAUUCUUUGGCGAUCAGCCUUCUUUAUGGUCCAGCUCUCACUUCCAUACAUCACUACUGGGAAAACCAUAGCUUUAACUAUACAGACCAUUGUUGGCAAGGUGAUGUCUCUGCUUUUAAGAUGCUGUCUAGGUUUGUCAUUGCUUUUCACCCAAGAAGCAGGCGUCUUAUAAUUUCGUGACUGCUGUCACCAUCUGCAGUGAUCAUGGAGCCCAAGAAAGUAAAAUCUCUCACUGCUUUCAUUUCUUCCCCUUCUAUUUGCCAGGAGGUGGUGGGCCCAGUGGCCAUGAUCUUUAUUUUUUGAUGUUGAGCUUCAGACCAUAUUUUGCGCUCUCCUCUUUCACCCUAAUUAUAAGGUUCUUUAAUUCCUCCUCAAUUUCCGCCAUCAAGGUUGUGUCAUCUGCAUAUCUGAGGUUGUUGAUAUUUCUUUCGGCAAUCUAUUAUCCGGAAGGAUAAUAUCCAAUAAAUACAUCAUCUCCUAGCAUCAAUACACAUCUUUACUUGAAGGGCAGCAGGUGAUGGCAUGAUGUGAUGUUGAUGUCAUGGCAUCACGUUGUGUGUGUGUGGGGGGGCACCCACAAUCUGGGGCCCAGGUUGGUGCCUCUGGUUACAGGUGUCUUCCCUUCCUGCUGCAACAGGCUCUUCCUCUUUGUCCUCCCACUGAAAAAACCCCAGGAGGGGCAUAGAAAGGACAGAGGAAAGAUUAGCUGCUCACAGUCUCAGUCUUGGAAAAAGCCCUGGAGAGGAGGAGACAUAGGCAGAUAUGGGGCAUGGUGGUAGUGGGGAACAACAAAAAUGGGGGGGGGGGAGACACGACAAAAAUGGGGGGAGUGUCAAUUGUGGGGAGUGAGAAAUGCCCCUGUUUUCAUCUGAGGAAUGUGGUUACUGAACAUCAAGAUGAAGCUGUUGGGAAGAGUCAUUUGGAGGUUUGGAGUGAAGUGUCAUCCAUAUGUCGAAGAUACCCAAUUCUAGAAUCCCCAAUACACAAAACCCCAGAUAGGUGCCUGGAUGCCAUGGUGCAGGACAGCCAACAAACUGAGCUUGAACCAUGAAAAACUGGAGGCCUUGUGAAUGAUUGAUUUCUGGGUCUUGGAGUUAGGUCAAUUGCUUGGCUGCCUGGACACAGUGGUUCAUGCACUGGUAACUUCAAGACAUUCAAGGUGCUUAUGUUUAUUUCCACAAAUUCCAAAACAAUGUGAGCCCGAGGUGUCUUGAGGAGUAUGCAAUCCCUUAUGCUACACCUCAAGCAUUGAUAUUCUUUGAUUGGGGCAAUUCUUGUAGCUCCUUGCACCCCUGAGGUUUAGUCAGCCUUCAAUUCAUAGGAAGCCUUUAGUGCAACAGGACAGAGAAAAGCUUUUAUUCCUUUCUCACAGUACUAGAAUUUGUGGGCAGCCAAUGACAGUGAAUGUUGGAAGAUUUGAGAAAGAAGGAAGAAAGUGCUGCUUGAAAUAGCACAUAGUUAAACUCUGGAAUUUGCUCACAGGAAGUAACAAUGGGCAGCAACAUGGAUGUGUUUGGUUAAGGAUUAGAAGAAAAUAAUGGAGGAUAAGGCUAUCAAUGGCUACUAACCAAGUUGGCCAUGUUCUUCCUCAAGUGUUGGAGACAGUAUUCCUCUGAAUGUCAGUUGCUGGGAAGCAUAAGGGGUUAGAGUGGUGUUGCUGUCCAGUCCUGCUUUGAGGCUUUGCACAGGCACCUGGCUGGCCAUUGCGACAACAGGGUUCUGGAACAGCUGGCCUGGUUCAGCAGGCUGAUGCAAGCUCUAGCCAGUGGAAGCUUGUGGGAAAUAUAACAUUUGCCCAAAUCUUGAUUGCUCACCCAGUGUACCCACUGAAGGCGAGUGGAUUCACAAUGUACUUGCUGAAGAAACAUGGUUUCACAAUUUCUUUCUAAAAUCACCAAGCUGUUCAUUUGCCUGAGUAAGGGAAGCCAAAGGAGAGAGAGAAUUGGGAAACUUUGGAGCCCUUUGUAAUCUAUAGCAGGGGUGAGGAACCUCUGACCUGGGGGCCAAAUGCACCUGGUGCCUGCCUCUCCACAGGGCCCAGGAGAAGGGUGUGCAGUCGGCACAUUGUUCCUCUGCUUGGGGUCACAAGGGGGACCUCCAAAAAUGUUUGCAUAUAUUGUCUGAAGACUAGCACUUCCAUUUUGUGUAAGACAACCUAAAAUGCCAUGACGCCUCUUCCUCCCUCUGCUUCCUCUUCUGCCAACAUGCCCCGGCUUACUUGUCCCCAUGGAAACAGAGAGGUGGCGCUGAAGUCCUGGUGAAAGAUAGCGUGACUGGGCAAGGUGAGAGGUGAGUGAGAAGGCAGACAUUCCUUGCUACUCCUGCAGGUGAUGUGCUCUGCCUUCUGAGGGGACUGCCACCUGCCCGUGAAGUGUGAGAUAUUUACCAUGCAGCCAAAUCAACAAUACAUGUUUGCUAGAUAGGCAAAUGACAGGAGCUGAAGCCCUCGGAGUUUCUUCCUGAAUGUUUCCCAGAACGAACUCUGAGAGACACUCCCACUGUGCCCCGCUCUGGGGAGGGUGUAGGCACUUCCUCUCCCUCUUUCUCUCUCCCCAUCCAUCCAGCAAUGUAGAACCAUCUGCUUGUCUGAGCUCUAAAGCUCGAUCCCCAUCAUCAUCUUGACCAAAGUAUGUCUUUGUAACUGGAUCACCAUUUUAAGCCUGCCUGGACAAAGCUGCUGUAUCUGUUACUCUUCAACAAGUAUUCUGAGUGAGUGAAUGUUAUCUUUACCUUUUACAAGCAGUAAUCUGCGUGAUUAUUAAGAGGAGAAAAGGGUAAAGACUUUUUCAGCUGCAAGGGGAUGCACUCUGCUGAACUCACAAACAUGAGGAAGGAAGGAUAAUAUCUAAUCAAUACAUCCUCUCCUAGCAUCAAUACACAUCUUUACUUGAAGGGCAGCAGGUGAUGGCAUGAUGUGAUGUUGAUGUCAUGGCAUCACGUUGUGUGUGUGUGGGGGGGCACCCACAAUCUGGGGCCCAGGUUGGUGCCUCUGGUUACAGGUGUCUUCCCUUCCUGCUGCAACAGGCUCUUCCUCUUUGUCCUCCCACUGAAAAACCCCAGGAGGGGCAUAAAAGGACAGAGGAAAGAUUAGCUGCUCACAGUCUCAGUCUUGGAAAAAGCCCUGGAGAGGAGGAGACAUAGGCAGAUAUGGGGCGUUGGGGACUUUUCAUCUUGGCAGUUGAUUUCAUGGAGGAAGACCCACAGGGAAUGAUCUGCUGUGCUCAUUAGGCCUAACACUCUGUGAAAAUUGUGUUUUUCCUAAGAAAGAGUUUGAACACUACAAUUUACUGACUAUGACACAGACACAUGUGGCAGUGGAUUUGGAAGGUGAUAGAUUUUCUCUGUAGCUUAUAUGCAUGCAGUGGAAAACAAGGAAUGCUAGAGUCAAGGCAGAUGUUACUUCCUUGUGGAGCCUUUGCAGAAGAAAAUAUGCUGUAUUCGUUGAUUGAUUCUUAAAGAAAUUACUGAAGUAUUAGCUUACAAAUAUUGUAGGAUUUUCUUUUCUUAUAUUACCCCUUUGGCCAAAAAUAUGUUAUAAUGCAUCAUUUUGAUAAGGAAUGGCAGGAUUUGUUUUGUUUUGUUUUUGCAGAUGUAGCUAUUUCUUUCCAAUUGUCUUUCGCAGGUGCUUCUAGAAUAUCCAAGUUUGAAAUGGGAUGCUCUACAAAUUGACCCUAAGCAAAUUAUAUAUAUUUUUUUAUUUUUUUUUAAUAAAAAUUUUUUAUUGCUUUUUUCCAGAUACACGUAUACAAUCAGCAUAAGAAAAUAACAGUAAUAGAAAAGAAUAAGAAAAAAAAGAGAAAGAAAAACAAAAGAAAACCAUCUUUUCAAAGUGUUUUUUCAUCACUAACUGGACUUCCCACAUCUCCCUCACCCUGCAUUCUUUACAAUAAAUAUAUCAGCAAAUUAUUACCUUGUUUCAUGCAUUCCUUUGUACUUUCAAUCAAUUAUACUUUAUGUUUAAAAUACUUAUUAUCUGAUUACUUUACCUUAAAAUAAAUAUGAAAUUACUUUAAACAUUAGUCCUUUCAUACUUAUUACUUAAUUUCCAUAUCACCGAAUCUUAUUGCUGAAGCUAAAUUUUCUAAAUCAUGCACACUCUUAACAUUCAUAUAAUUUAUAAUAUUUUUGUAGAUAGUCUUUGAAUUUUUCCAAUCCUCUUCCAUUGUUUCUUCUCCCAAAUCUCGGAUUCUGCCAGUCAUUUCGGCCAGUUCCAUGUAGCCCAUCAACUGCGUCUGCCACUCUUCCAAUGUGGGCAAUUCUUGUGUCUUCCAGUAUUUUGCGAUUAGUAUUCUUGCUGCUGUUGUAGCGUACAUAUAAAAAAUUAUGUCCUUCUUUAACACCUUCUGGCCAACAAUGCCCAGGAGAAAGGCCUCUGGUUUCUUAGGAAAGGUGUAUUUAAACACCUUUUAACUCAUUAUGUAUCAUUUCCCAGAAGGCCUUCACUUUUGGGCAAGUCCACCAGAGGUGAAAGAAUGUCCCUUCAGCCUCCUUACAUUUCCAACAUUUAUUAUCAGACAAAUGAUAUAUCUUAGCAAGCUUGACUGGGGUCAUGUACCACCUAUAUAUCAUUUUCAUAAUAUUUUCUUUCAAGGCAUUACAUGCCGUGAAUUUCAUACCAGUGGUCCAUAACCUUUCCCAGUCUUCAAACAUAAUGUUGUACCCAAUGUCCUGAGCCCAUUUUAUCAUUGCUGAUUUGACUGUUUCAUCCUGAGUGUUCCAUUUAAGCAGCAAAUUAUACAUUCUCGAAAGUACUUUAGUCUUUGGUUCUAUCAAUUCUGUCUCUAGUUUCGAUUUUUCCACCUGGAAGCCUGUUUUUUUAUCCAACUUAAAAACCUCUUGUAAUUGAGCAUAAUGGAACCAAUUUUGCACCUUAUUCUUUAAUUUUUCAUAACUCUGCAACCUCCAAUUUUCUCCAACUUUUUCUAUGAUUUCCCCAUAUUUCGGCCAACCAACCUCCAUAUUGGAUUUUUUCCAGGCCUUGGCCUCUACUGGUGAUAGCCACCUCGGGGUCUUACCUUCUAAUAAAUCUUUAUAUUUUGUCCAGACCAUAAAUAUUGAUUUUCUGACAAUAUGGUUUUUAAACAUUUUAUGAACCUUUGCCUUGUCGUACCACAAAUAUGCAUGCCAACCAAAAGCAUUGUCAAACCCUUCCAGAUCUAGGACAUCAGUGUUCUCAAGAAGUAACCAAUCCUUCAUCCAGCAGAAGGCCGCAGCUUCAUAAUAUAGUCUCAAGUCCGGCAGGGCAAACCCCCCUCUUUCUUUCGAGUCAGUUAGUAUUUUAAACUUUAUCCGGGGCUUUUGCCCUGCCAUACAAACUUGGAUACAUCCUUCUGCCACUUCCCAAAACAUUCCACUCUGUCCACAAUCUGUAGGGCUUGAAACAGAAAUAACAUUUUCGGCAAUACAUUCAUUUUUAUAGCUGCAAUUCGACCCAACAAGGAAAGUUUCAAUCUCGACCAAAUUUCCAAAUCUUUCUUAAUUUCCAACCAACAUUUUUCAUAAUUGUCCUUAAAUAAAUUCAAAUUUUUAGCAGACAAAUGAACCCCUAGGUAUUUCACUUUUUUUACCACACUUAGUUCUGUCUCCUUCUGAAUCCCAUCUGUUUCUGAAGAUGUCAAAUUUUUUCCCAAAACCUUGGUUUUUUGCUUGUUCAACUUAAAUCCUGCCACCCGACCAAACUCCUGAAUCAGUUCUAAAACUCUUUUCGUACUAGAUUCUGGCUCCUGUAAUGUUAAAACCAAAUCAUCUGCAAAAGCUUUCAGUUUAUAUUGUUUCACUCCGACCUGUAUUCCUUGUACCAACCGGUCCUCCCUAAUCAUGUUCAGAAGCACCUCCAGGACUGAAAUAAAUAAAAGAGGGGAUAGGGGGCACCCCUGUCGUGUUCCUUUUUCAAUUCUAAACUCUUCUGUCACCACAUUGUUCACUAUCAAUUUAGCUUUUUGCUCUGAGUAAAUUGCCUCUAUACCAUUUUCAAACCCCCGUCCCACUCCCAUCCCUUCCAAAUUUUUCUUCAUAAACUUCCAGGAAAUAUUGUCAAAGGCCUUCUCCGCAUCAAUGAAAAUUAACACUGCUUUAGUAUUAAUGUUAGUUUGCAAAAGUUCCAAAAUAUCAAUAAUGUUUCUGGUAUUAUCAAAUAAAUGUCUACCUGGGAGAAAGCCUGCCUGGUCCUUGUGAAUUACUUCUUUUAGCACUUUUUUAAAUCUACUUGCCAAAAUGUCUGCAAAGAUUUUGUAAUCCACAUUUAGGAGUGAGAUGGGACGGUAGUUCUUAAGUUGAGUCUUUUCAGUUUCCAGUUUAGGUAUCAAUGUGAUGAAAGCUUCUUUCCACGUUUCCAGUGCCUUCCUCCCCUCCAUAAUCUGAUUGCAAACCUCCAUUAGCGGUUGUAUCAAAUAAUCUUUUAAUAUCUUAUAGUACUUGGAGGUGAGUCCAUCUGGGCCUGGAGAUUUGCCAAGUUGCAUAUUCUGAAUGGCACCCUCAAUUUCCUGUUGUGUUAUUUUGUGAUUCAAGAUUGUUAUCUUCUCCUGAGAUAGUUUUGAUAAUCCAUUAGCUUUUAAAAAUUGAUCUAUCUCAGUCACUUCCUGAGGCCCUUGCGUAUAAAGUUUUGAAAUAUCUCUGGAAACACUUUCUAAUUUCUUCUGGUUUCUGGAUGUUUCUCCCUUCUACCUCUAGAUUGGUAACAAAGUUCAAUUUUUGUCUUUUUUUCAACUGCCAUGCUAGCAGUUUUCCACAUUUAUUCGCCGAUUCAAAAGAUCUUUGUUUCAUUUGUUUAAUUUUCCAUUCCACUUCUUGAUUUAUCAAUUUCGCAUACUGUGCUUGAUGGAAUUUAAUUUCUCUUAGGAUCUCUUUAGAUUUUGGUUUUAGUCUCAAAUUUUUCUCACCAUCUCUUAUCUUCUCUAAUAUCUUAUCCUUUUUUCCAUUCCAGAGUUUUUUCUUAAUCGUAUUCUGUUGUAUCAGACCCUAAGCAAAUUAUAAAAGGCUCCCAUGCAGCACACCUUUGGGUCCCCUGCCUACCCCAUCGCCUCCAACCAAGGGGCCAAUUUUUGCUAACAGAGCAGUCUUUGUUGCCAGCUGAGAGAGAGCAGAAAAAACUUUUUAUGUAGGCAAUGACAGCAGUGAGAAUACUAUGGGCCUGGAGAUGGAAAGGGGAUAAAGUUCCAACCAAAGAAGACUGGAUGAUGACUAUGAUGGACUAUGCCGAAAUGGCAAAAGUGACGGGGAGAAUGAGAGAUCAGGACGAGAAGAAGUUUGAGAGAGAAUGGGAAAAAUUUAUAAAGUAUUUAAGAGAACAUUGUAAACAACUAAAAACUUUGGCAGGAUUAGAGUAAUAUUUGUAAAGUACAAAAUAUAAUGGAGAAGUUAAUAAUAGAUAUAGUAAAUUGGAAAAAAUAAAGAUAAGCUGAAGAAAAGGAUAGAUAUGGAAGCCAGAGAGAGGCGGGGAAGUCAAGGGAUUCUGGGAAUCCAAAUGUGAAGGUGAAUGAUAUGUUUAAAUCGAAAUGUGUUAAGAAAAAAUGAAUUAAACAAAUUUCAAAAGGAAAAAGGAAAUGGUAGCUCUGUGUCCUGAACAGAGCCAGGGGUCACCCAAACCUCUGCACCACUUUCCCCUGUGAAAAAUCCUGUGGUUUAGUGCUGAAUUGGAACAAACAGCAAUCAGGUUUUUCUGCAGAUUUCCUGGGAGGAAAGCAGUGGGCACUGGCGGAGGAAGAGGCGUGCGGGGGGAGCACACUGCCUCUGGCAACUCGAUCCCGGCUGCUCCUGGAAGCUCGAUCCCUACGGGUGGUGUGACACGCUCCCAGGACACGCGCCCCCACCCAAGGGCGGUGUGCCAUGCCCCCGGGGUGCUCGCCAGCCCUGCGCCUGCCUGCUCUCUGCCCCCUGGUGCCGGAGCAUGAAUCUCCGCCACUGGCAGUGGGGCAAGGCAAAACCAAUCAGACCCGUGCCUGGAAAGGAUGGUGCAAGUGGAAAACCACUUGGAACUCUGCUUUCCAGGCAUGGGACAAGUGGAAGUGUGUGUGGGGGGAUCCAGAGGUUUCCAAAAUUAUGACUGCCUGUGGGUGCACCACAAGCUCUCCAAACUAUCUGAAGACGUGUGCAUGCACACGAAAGCUCACACCAAUAACGAACUUAGUUGGUCUGUAAGGAAGGAAGGAAUUCUUCUGGAAGGAAUUUUUUUAUUUUGUUUCUCCAAACUAUGUGUGUGGAUGGGAGGAGAAAAAGGGACCCCUUGCAGCUCUUUUCCUCUCUCCUCCUUCUCCUGGUCUCCUCCUUCUGACUUCUCCAGGAACACCACUAGGAGAAGCCUCACGGGUGGCACAGAACCCCAGAAUUCACUAGCCCCUUCCCUGCGAUGCCUAGAAUAAAAUAUUGUGGCCGCCCAGGCAAGCCCUGUCCUGCAGAACUGAUCACAUGAUGCAGUGUAGAAUAGCAAACCCAUUAACGUGGGGGGGGGGGCAGCCACCUCAAAUAUUUUAUUGUGGGGCCAAAGCCCACACAGCUCCUAGGAGUUAGCUCCUAUGCCCCUACAUCUCUGACAAAUGUUCCCCCAACAAAUGUUGCAUUUGGAAAAACACACGAUACAACACUCAUUAUUGGCCAUAUAUAUUUAUUUUGGACAUGAUUCAAUGACCUCAUUUGAACAUGAAAGUCAAAUACAGCCUUUCCUUGAGGAGGAGCUUCUAGAACUCUGGAAAUAAAGCCUAGGAGGCUUCAGGCUGAGACCUCCGCUGAUUCAAGCACAAGGCAGCCGAUUUCCCUAAAUUGUGGGUUCUUCUGGAAGUUGGAGAUUUGCUUUCUCUCUCUCAGCUACAGUUCAUAGACAGAGUGUUUUGCUAAGGUGCACUCUGCUCUAGCGGUCUGGAUGCUGUAAUUUUCAAACGAAAUGUCUGUUCCACUGAUGAAGUGACACAUAUAUGCCGUCGUACAGCCUCGGGCAGCAGCCUUUAGCUUGGUAUUCCCUGUUGGAAUGAAACACACAGGUGCUUUUUGUGGGAUAUAAAGCUGCAAGUUAAGUCCAACAUUCCACGAGAGGACUAACUGCCUCUAUGUGGCAGGCAGUUUUGUCAGUUGGUCUGUUGGUCGGUUGCUGCAAGGAGUGUUAACUGGUAACUGCUUGGAUGCAGUCUUCUCAUGAUUCACUACUAUCUAGUAUAUAGUUUAUCUGUUGUGUAACCUAAGCCUGCCUUCAGGAACAACUCUGUAAACCUGAAUGAAUCUGAUAGUAAAGUAGUUUAUGUUAAUAUGAUCCAGAUUCAUGUUUGUUUUCUUAAAGAGGGACAGAAAGGGAUUAUCAACCAGGAAGGUAUAAUUAUUGAUAAAAACCAGAAACGUGUGUGGGCAAUCCAGUGAGGACAAAGCAUUCAGGUAGGGUAUAAAGUGGGGCUUGUGAGGGGUGUGGCCUAGGGAGAGGAGGUGUGGCUAAGUAGGAUUCGAAGGGCCAGAGAGAGAGAGUCCUAGAGGGACGCCUUUGGUCCCUAGACAUGAGGGGCCCUCCCCAAUUAAGAUCCAAAUUUUAGGAUGUAUUUUUAUUUAACAAAAUCAAUAUACCAUGUGACUGCAGUAAAAACCACUAGGGGUUUACAAGAAAUAUUAACAUUAGCGAUACAAGCAGUUAAAACUAUUAAAAUAUUUAAAACUCAUUAGAAUGAACAGCAAAAGGGAAUAGAGUGCGUCCAAUCUACAUGUCUGGAUAAAGUAAAGGUAAAGGGACCCCUGACAAUCAGGUCCAGUCGUGACCGACUCUGGGGUUGUGGUGCUCAUCUCGCUUUAUUGGCCAAGGGAGCCGGUAUACAGGUUCCAGGUCAUGUGACCAGCAUGUCUAAGCCACUUCUGGCGAACCAGAGCAGCGCACGGAAACGCCGUUUACCUUCCUGCUGGAAGGUAGACCUAUUUAUCUACUUGCACUUUGAUGUGCUUUCGAACUGCUAGGUUUGCAGGAGCAGGGACCGAACAACGGGAGCUCACCCCAUCGCGAGGAUUCGAACCGCCGACCUUCUGAUCGGCAAGUCCUAGGCUCUGUGGUUUAACCCACAGCUCCACCCACGUCCCACAUGUCUGGAUAGGCGUGUCUAAACAAAAAUGUUUUAAGGAGUUGCUGGGGGAAAAUGGAAUAAACAGCUACAGGAUUCCAGGUGGAAAUUCAUCAAGGUUUAUCGACAAUCUUGCAGUUUUCAGAACAGCACAAUAUGGAACACUAGUUCCAUAUGCAUCUGGCUGUCACCAGUAUGUUCCUGGCAGCUGUCCACCACUCAUAGAGCAGUCUAUUCUGCCUGCUGCACUUCAGGUUCCAGUGGAACUCUAUGGUCCAGUUCUUAGUUCAAGCUAAAGCGAUGGAGAACUAAGAUUGUGGAUUACAAACUCCCAGCUUGGUCUGGUAUUGGGGGUGACAGCAGCAGCCUGGGACUGAUUACAAGCUACCUAAGUUUUGAGAGUCACAAGAGCUCGUCUUGCUCUGCAGAGUAGCAUUAACCAUCCUCCCUUGGCUAAGCCUAAUUCCCAGAGUGGUUUAACAAUCAACCCCUUUUCCAAGAAAAUCAUGAAAUGGUAGCUCUGUGUCCUGAACACACCCAGGGGUCAUCCAUUCUGCUGGAUGUGUAAGUGGAAAACCAAUCGGAACUGUGCUUUCUAGGCAUGGAACAAGUGGAAGUGCAGGGAGGAUCCACAGUUUCCAAAGCUAUGACUCUCUCUGGGAGCACCACAAGUUCUCCAGACUCUGAGGGAGGGUGGAUGAAUCGGAAGAAAAAGAGACGUCCUGCAAUCUUCUCCUGCCUCUUUCUCCUGCUUUGUAUUUGGCUUCCUGGUCUCCCCCUCCUGACUCCCCUCUUCCACCACCACCAGGAGCUGCCUCACGGGGGGCACAGAAAUCCACAAAUCACUAGCCCCUCCCCUGGAUGCUCCUCCACCCAAUUCCUCUGGUCACCAAUCCCUCCUCCUUGGGCUCUUGACUAUCCCAGACACACUGUGAGGGGAGCAGCGUCUCCGAAUAACUUUCAGCACCCUUGCCAGCAUGUUUUUUGGAUAAGCCUGACUGUUCAAGGUGGCGUGAUACUGCUUUAAAUGCCCUAGCUGCACUCACCGGAUGCAGAGACUCACCAAGACUGAUGCUACCCGCAUAGUAGAAGCAGUGGUCCUCGUUAUUUCUGCAGCUGACGGUUUUCUUGGACUGGCACUGAUCGCUUGUGAAGGAGUAGCAACUUGGGCACUUCAGCCCAUUGAGCUCCCUCUCCUCAGGCUCUGGCACUGUAAAUCAAUCACCACAGCACCCCAACCUUGCAGUUAGUUUGCAGCUUCCAACCACAUCUGGCUGUAUAUGAGGGGUGGGAAUUGUGCUCCCCCUUCCAAGAGGGAUGUGUACCAACUCCCAGCACUUCUCCAAGUUCAGUGCUGUAGCCUUGCUCCAUUCAUCCAGGGCUACAUUAAGGCAUGGUGCAAGUGAUUUCUGACUGGGGCCACAUUCACAGCAUACAUUUCAAGCACAAGGAUACUGCUUUAAGCAAUUGGGCUUAGCACUGAGCACCAUUGGAGGGCAUUCUGAGAGACUAAGUGGUAGCCACAGAUACACACAAGAUGGUGAUGAAAUUCUAGAAAAUGGCCCUCUUUCUUAGAGAGGGGAAGAAAAAGAAAACUCUUAGCAGUUUCCUCCUUAAAAAAUCUCUUCUGGAAAAAGAUGUGCUUAGUUCUAGGUGAAAUUACAAUUUCACCUAGGAAAAAAUGGUAGAUGGUGAUGAUGAUGAUGAUGAUAAUAAUAAUAAUAAUAAUAAUAAUAAUUUAUUUAUACCCCGCCCUCCCCGGCCAGAACCUGGCUUGGUGCGACUAACACCAAUAAAAUUACAAUAUAAAGUAAAAGAAAAAGAAAAAACAGUUAAUGAAAAUACAGGUUAAACCUGUAAGAUCCCUUUGUGGACCUUACCUACAGAAGCACAGGCAGUUAAGAAAAAGCAUAUGGACACAUACCAAUUAUUAGUAGAAGGACAACAGGAUGAACGUAUACUGAAAAAAUAUGGAGAAAUUAAAGGGCACCUAACAGACUGGCUGCAAUAUUUUAAAUUCAUCAAAGAUUAACCAUUGAUCAAAAAGCAGGACUUGCAAAAGAAACAUCAGAAUUUGAAAAAGCAUUGAUACAAAGUAAAGGAAAAUAUAUCUCACGUGUAUACGACCCCCUAUUGGAAUGGGAGGUAAAGGAAGAACAAGUGAAAGCUGUAAUGGUGAGAUGGGCGCAAGAUUUGGGUUAUAAUAUUUACAUGGAACAAUGGGAAAAAUUAUGGCGGGAAGACAUAAAAUUCAUGGCCUGCUACCCUCACCGGUUCUGGAAGGUUCCUAUAGAAGGGUUGAGAUUCGUAGAGACACCAUCAAUCCUUUGCUGAAGAGGCUCGCCGAUCUUUCAGACAAGUCUAAACUUAAUUCUCUCCUCUUAGGCAAAGAUCAUAAGACGACCUGGCUGGUAGCCAGAUUCUGCUCCCAGAUUUGUAGGCACAGAUCAUCCUCUAGAAUAAAAUAGCUUACUAGGGAAAUGCUGAAGUUGCCCUUUGAGGCGCCUCAGGGUCAAUUUUUUAUGGUAGCCCAAAUCUCAGUUGUACGGGUGUAUGUAUAUAUCACAAUUUUAAUUCAUGAGCUGCAAUUUGCCCCAAUUGUAUAUUUUAUCUUUAUGAACACUGUUUUUAUUGUGUUAUGUUAUGUGAGCUGGUCUUUGACCGUAAUAAAUUAUCUAUCUAUCUAUCAGUAGGUUAGGGAAUUCCAAGGCCCAGCCGGCCACCACAUCCAACAGGCCUGACAGGGUGGCUGCUGCUGCACUAGGUGGUCAGUACACCAGCCAGACAGCCAAACUCUCCUUGGUGCCCCACACUAGGCUAACACGUUCAGUGCUGGAGACUGAUGGUGAUAAUAAGAGCUAUUUUGUGGGGGUUGAUUGCUAAACCGUAGCUCAGUGAGUUUCCUAUCAACUCUCAGCACCCUUAACAAACUACCACUCCCAUAAUUCUUUGUUAUAGUGCUGUAAAUAACAGUAUAAACCAAGGUGGGGGGGAUUGCUAAAGGGAAGUACGUAGUGCUGCGUGUGUGGUAAUUCCCCCCCGCCUUUGACACUCGUUUCCAGCCUGCAAGGUGUGCUCUACUGUGUUGGUGGCAGCAGCAGCAGCAGCAGAAGGUAAUGCAUUCCUUGGAAGCUGCCUCUAUUGACCCUGUGGAUCCUGCUCCCUGAGGAGGUCAUCUCACCUUGCCUAAUACUACUACUACUACUACUACUAAUAUUUAUACCCCGCCCAUCUGGCCGCGUUUCCCCAGCCACUUUGGGCGGCUUCCAACAAGAUAUUAAAAUGCAACAAUCUCUUACAUUAAAAGCUUCCCUAAACACAGCUGCCUUCAGAUGUCUUCUAAAAGUCUGGUAGUUGUUUUUCUCUUUGACAUCUAGUGGGAGGGCGUUCCACAGGGCGGGUGCCACUACCUAGAAGGCCCUCUGCCUGGUUCCCUGUAAUUUGGCUUCUCGCAGUGAGGGAACUGUCAGAAGGCCCUCGGUGCUGGACCUCAGUGUCCGGGCAGAAUGAUGGGGGUGGAGACGCUCCUUCAGAUAUACUGGACCGAGGCUGUCAUGGGUGGGCUGGCUCUGCACCCGGACUAACUGCUUGCUUUCCCUUCUUCCAUAGGGCUAAAAGUGACUUAGGACAACAUCUUCAAAUAGGGAAAAUGGAACAAGAGGUGAGGGAAGGAUUUGUGUAGGUGGCACAGGAGCCCAUGGUAUCUAAUAUAGUUUUAUUAGCAUUUGCUUUAGAAGGAUGCAAACCUGAAGAAAUUAAAUUCCUCACACAGAAACGGGAAAGGAGUCUGUCCUGCUAAAAAUAGCUCUAAAAAUGCAUCAAAGAAAGAGGAGGAGUCUAGGUUUUGGAGGAAGGGCUAGAGCUCUGGGAAACCAAUGAGACAGUGUGAUGUAGUGGUUAGAGGGUUGGACUAGAAUCUGGGAAACCAGGGUUUAAAUCCAUGCUCAAGCCAUGACACUUGCUGGGGGACCUUAUGCCAGCCACCAUCUCUCAGCCUGACCUGUUUCACAGGGUGUUUUGAAUCUAAAAUGUUGAGCUCUUUGGAGAAAAGGGUAAAUAUCCGAAGCUGCUGCAGGAGAGGGACUGUGAAUAAUAUCAGGCGAGGUUGGCCUGGCCAAUCCAGAGGCAUCAUAGUGCCUCACCAGUCACACUUCAGGAGGCCUCAAUAUGUAGUUCAGCGCAGCCUAACUUCAAGUUUUGGGGUUCUCAGUUCAAAUCCCAACCCGAGCUUCUGUCUUCAGUUUGAAAAGGGCUGGAGGCAGGAGGGCGGGAGGCAGACUCUGCUGAGAGGCCUGCCUUUCACGUCCAUGGUGUCCCCGCCUCUCUUCCUCUCCCCAAGGGGAAGGUGAGUUGCCUCUGCCCUGCCUGGAAAUGGCUCCUGUCAGGGUUGGGUGGCAGUGAUGUUGGUGGGGUUUGGGGAGGGGUCUUCCCAGCAGGGAGAGGGAAGCGAAUGCACCUGGGGCAACCAGCCCUCUUGAAUCCCCCACUGCUGCUGCUACUUACGUUCAAGAGUUUCACUGUUGCACAUAUCUGUGUUACAGCAGUAGGUCUUGAUGAACAUGUACACAGUUGAUGUUACGGUGAGACUGGAAUACUCUCUGAUGCAAUACAUUGCAUAGAUACAGGACUUGAAAACAAAUUUGCUCCCAAAAAUACCUAUAGAAGAAAGAAUUGGAAGAAAAUAACUACACCUGGAGAUAUGGCUCACCCACACAAGGGGAAAUAUCCCCCAGGGGCAGCCUCCUAUGAAAGCAUUGAAGGCUGCUGCCACCUUUGCAGCUGUGGUUCAUUUCUUGGAGGCCAGAUCUUCCACCUCCUUGGCAGCCCCUCCAAAUGCCGCCUCUGUAAUGGCCUCUUGGCAAUUAGGAGUUGCUGCUAGUCUCCUCCCAGCCUUGUUGCCAAUGUACAUCUUUAUUCCCACACAAUUCCAGUGUAGAUCCCCAUUCCCACCCCCUUGUUCCUGAUGUAGAUCUUCAGUCCCCCCUUCUUCCCUGCCUGGCCGCUGGGCAGCAUUUCAUGGUCCGCCUGAGGUGUCACAAUAUCUUAGGCUGGCCUGGCCUGGAGUGGAAAGAGAGACCUUCAGUUUUAUCUAUUUGUUGAAUGUGAGGCAGGGAUGGAGAACUUUUGAAAAGUCCUCAUGAAAAUUCAACAGCAGAGAAUGCUGUUUCUCUUCCAGUCAAUACCAGUGAUAGGCAAGACAGGACACCUCAAGGAAUGGCAAAAGGGUAUUUCUAGAUUCAUCUGGCAGGGGAACAGAUCUAGAAUAAAAUAUAAAUUACACGACUGCACAACUGGAUUGCAAAAAUGGGAGAAGUGUGGAUGUGGAAGGAGGGCUUUGUUUGGCUCUGCAUAUUGUUUUGGAAAGAGCCAAGUAGGUAAGCUCACCUUCAAAUGUGAACUGACUUGAAUUUCCCUCUGUUUCCUACAUGGAAUACAGGAUCUAGAACACUGCUUUAUGAAAAGCCACACCUUGUGGUUUAUAGCUAAGAUAUGGCCUUAGAAAGUGAGUCUGGGAAUUUAAGUUUUGGUGGUCAAAAAGGCUGAAAGUUCUUCUCACUUACCCAUUUUGGCGUCUCCAAUGCCAGAUACGCAGAACCGAUUUAUCCUCGUAUCACACUCCUGUAUGGUGGCGUUUUUGCAAUCUUUUCCUUGACUGAGACAGAACUCACAAGUCAGAGAGGCCGCUACAGACAUGGGGAGAUGGGUUUAGAAAACCUUAGCACCAUCCACAUAUGGGAAAUAGGUACAUUAAGGUACAUCAACAUGACAGUUCCUCCUACAAAGCCCAUCUCAUGAGGGGCAGUGAAGGCCACCAACUUGGAUGGCUUAAGAAAAGGAAUAGAUAAAUUCAAGGGGGUUAAUAAGUCUGUUGCUGGCUUCCAGCCUCAAGAGAUAUUUUAUCUCUCUAACACUGUAGGCACUAUUAGAUCCUGCUUGCGAACUUCCCAUAGGCAUCUGGUUCACCAUGGUGAGAACAAGAUAGUGGACCAAACGGGCCAUUUUUCACUUAUGCAGUGCUGUCUAUAUAUAUUUCCUCUGUAGUUCUUAAGCUGUGUGUGAAUGGGGGCUGAGUCUUGGACAGACUAGAGAAUGAUUGUCCUAGGUGGUUCCUGCAGUCUGAGAGAGAGGACCUGUAGGGCCUGAGGAAACCUUUGACACUCCACAAGUAGCUGAACUACAACUCCCAUCAGCUCCAGAAAGCAUGACCAAUGGCUCUGGAUGAUGGGCACUGGAGUUUGUCAAAGAUGCUCCACAUGUGCACUAGCAGAACUUAAAAAGGAAAGGUCUAUUUAUUUGAGAAGUGUUGAGGAGAUAAAACCUCAUGGAGGAGGUGGGGGUGGGGCUAAGCUUUAAUAUGUGAGUACCUGAAGGAUGAAUUUUAACAUAUUGCCUAUUGAAUUGAAAAUGAAUUAUGGGCAAGCAGCUCAGUGGAACUGGAAUAACUAGCUUUCACCUUUUCCCUUGCCCGCUGUAGAAAAUCAACCAGCGUGACCAAGGCAGUUUCAGUCCCAUCAUAUGGCCUGAAUCCUGAUUGGAAGGGAUCCAAAUGGUCUGCAUCCUCCAGGCAUGCUUGGAGUUGUUCAGCAACCACCCGCACAAUCACCUUGCCCAAGAAUGGAAGAUUUGAGACUGGGUGAUAGUUGGGCAUACUGGCCGGGUCUAAAGAUGUUUUUUUAAGAAGUGGUUUAAUGACCGCCUCUUUCAGCGGGUCUGGGAAUGCUCCCUCACAGAGGGAAGCAUUCACCACCCCACAGAGCCCAUCACCCAGCCCUUCCCGGCUUGCUUUUAUUAGCCAGGAUGGGCAAGGAUCAAGGAGACAGGUGGUUGGUUUCACUUGUCCAAGCAACCUGUCCACAUCCUCAGAGGUAACAGAUUGGAAUUGAUUCCAUGCAGCUCGACUAGACAAGACUCUAGCACUCUCCUGCCCGACCCUGCUGCCACGGUGGAGUCUACCUCCGUCCAAAUCUGAGCAACUUUAUCUGCAAAAUACUUUAUUGUUGUAGGAGAUCUUGGGGUCUUUACAAGGCCCUAGUGGCAAAGAUGGUUCCGUUAAACUGUGAACCACCUGAAAAAGUCUCCUGCUGCAAUUUUCUGCAGAUGCAAUAGAGACAGUCUUUUUUGAUGUUGCUAUCGCCACUUGGUAGGCUCGACAUUGAGCUCUAACCUAUGUAAGGCUGAUGAUAGUCAGUCAUUAAUUCAUUAAGAAGGCCAUUAAGAGAAACUCUUUGGGCCAGAUAGAAAAUGGGGAAAACACCUACCUGAGGUGAGUAGUAGAGAAAAAAGGACAGAGUUUCAGAGGAAGUUGCAGAAUCUGAGUGGGCGAUGAGGUAAACAAACAGAAAAAAGUGCAAGAAACAUAUUCUUUGUUGUAGAUGAAAGCUAGGAUUCUGGUUAUCGAAGAGUGGACAACUGCCUCCCUUACUCCCCCAAUGGACUUUGGGAUACUAAACCUCUCAGUAUGUAUUUGGUUAAAUAAAAACAAAUACAACAAACAUUCUAUGAUUGAGGAUCCCUUGUAGCUUGACCAUAUGGUUUAUUCCUCUACUUUUCAAAGGAGCCACAAGUUCUGGUUCCUUCUCCUGCUUUAAUGGCUGACCCCCCCCCACUUAGUUCCUUCCUGGAAACAGGAUGAACUGCCCAGCAGCUGUGGUUCUGCUCACCUGGAUUCAGAAGGGUCAAGAGGAGGCAGGAGAUCAGGAGUGUCUUCAUCGUUCUAGAGAGCUGAAGAGCCAGGAAGGAGUUUGAGAACAGCACUGGGCCAAGCAAGGAACUGAUGCAUGAAGAGGCUUAGUUGGAGGAAUUUAUAGAAGAUUGCAAGAAGCACUUUGCCAGCAUCCAGGAACAACGGAUUCAGGACAGUGUCAUAAAUUACUAGAAUUCUAAUUCUGCUAUACCAUAAUGUAAAGCACAGUUCUGAAAACAAAUUAAAUAUCUUCCCCCUUCCAAGUACUCCAAGGACACGUCCCUCCUAAUCUGUGCCAGCCUCAAUUUCAUGUCCCUACUAAUCUAGAUUCUAUUAUCUGAGACAGAGAGAGAGAGAGAGAGAUUGCUUGUGCUUUUGUAAUUCAAGAAAAUCUUCAAUAAAAAUGGAAAAAUUCAAAAACAGCUGCAGACCCAAGGUUGGGAAACACUGGCCUAGAGGACCACAGGUUCUCAUUCCUGAUAUAGGAACUCUUUAAAGUCUGCUCGGAUUUUCAUCAUCCUGAGGAGAGGCAAAAACUCCAUCAAACCUGGCCAGCUCAUCAACAUUUUUGCACCUGCGAAACAUUGGUAGAGUUAAAACAACACCCACCCACACCCUAUUAAAACCAUGGCAAUGAUUGCAAUAAAAACAUCGUGGCACCAGCUCUUCAUUUAAAGUGGUCAGUUCCCCAAAGCCCAUUGGAACAAAUUACAUGCUUUGUUAUCCCUAAUUACAUCUAUACAUCAGCUAUUUUGCUGUCUUGAGAAGUCCGGAGGAGGAGAGAAACCUGGGGGGUGGAGUUGGAAGCAGAGUUUGAGAAUACGACUGUGGGAUGAUCACAGAAUCAUAGAUUUGGAAAGGACCUUUGAGGGACAUGUAGGCCAACCCCCUGCAACUGAGGUACCUCAACUCAAGCAGCCUCAACUUCAAAGAACUUAAGGCUUCCCUGCUCCAAUUUGACUUCUGCAGUCCCGGCCAUCAGGGACAUGCUCUCGUUCACGUUCAACUGCCUGGCUCUGCGCCAGCUCCUCCGCCGCUCCAGUUGGCCGAGGGUAUCAAAAUCAUCUCACUCCUCCGCAUCUUGCCCAGCAGAGAAACCGUGCACCUUGCGCCCCUCCUGGACAAUGGCGCGCCACCCGUCCGUGACUCCUGAGCCUCCCCCGAUCUCCUGCCCCCUUCCCCCUUUGUUUUGAGAGUUUCACAGGGUGCGAAAGAAGAGCUUUGCACCUUGCCCAACAGAGAAACCGUGCACCGUGCGCCACUCCUAGGCAACAGCCGCCCACCCACGAUCUCUCAAAACGAACGGGGGAGGGGACAGGAAAUUGGGGGAAGCUCAUGAAUCAUGGGUGGGUGGCGCUCUGUUGCCCUUAUGUGACACCUCAAGCACUGAGAUCCUUUAAUUGGGGCAAUUCUUGUAGCUCCCUGCACCCCUGAGGUUUAGUCAGCCUUCAAUUAAUAGGAAGCCGUUAGUGCAACAGGACAGAGAAAAGCUGUUAUUCCUUUCUCGUAACACUAGGAGUUUUGGGCAGCCAAUGACAGUGAAUGUUGAAGAUUUGAGAAAGAUGGAAGAAAGUGCUGCUUGAAAUAGCACAUAGUUAAACUCUGGAAUUUGCUCACAGGAAGUAAAGAUGGAUGUGUUUGAUGUGUUUGGUUAAGGAUUAGAAGAAAAUAAUGGAGGAUAAGGCUAUCAAUGGCUACUAACCAAGUUGGCCAUGUUCUUCCUCAAGUGUUGGAGACAGUAUUCCUCUGAAUGUCAGUUGCUGGGAAGCAUAAGGGGUUAGAGUGGUGUUGCUGUCCAGUCCUGCUUUGAGGCUUUGCACAGGCACCUGGCUGGCCAUUGCGACAACAGGGUUCUGGAACAGCUGGCCUGGUUCAGCAGGCUGAUGUAAGCUCUAGCCAGUGGAAGCUUGUGGGAAAUAUAACAUUUGGCCAAAUCUUGAUUGCUCACCCAGUGUACCCACUGAAGGCGAGUGGAUUCACAAUGUACUUGCUGAAGAAACAUGGUUUCACAAUUUCUUUCUAAAAUCACCAAGCUGUUCAUUUGCCUGAGUAAGGGAAGCCAAAGGAGAGAGAAAAUUGGGAAACUUUGGAGGCCUUUAGUAAUGUAUACCAUGAGAGGGAAACCUCUGACCUGGGGGCCAAAUGCAGCCACUGCCUGCCCCUCCACAGGGCCAAGGAAAGGGGGUGGGUCAGGUGGUACAUCGUUCCUCUGCUUGGGGUCACAAGGGGGACCUCCAAAAAUGUUUCCAUAUAUUGUGUGAAGACUAGCAUUUUCAUUUUGUGUAAGACUACCUAAUAUGCCCCGAGGCCUCUUCCUCCCUCUGCUUCCUUUGAUUUAAGCAGAGUCUGUCGUGCCCAACGGAAGGAUGAGAAUACGUGCUGCAUACUCUUUAUUGCUUUAUUUACAGUUCAAAGCUGGUAUAUUACAGAAAGACAUCUUGCCUCUGCAAGAGCAGAAAAUGCAUCCUCUCUCCUGGACAGCUCGGAGAGAAUCACACACAGUGAAAAACAGGAAACCAGUGUACGUCACAUCCAGUCUCCCUUUCCCGUGAGAAAACCCAACAGUACAGUACAGACUGUGGAAUGUAAACACCUGUCUCAUGACAAGCAGAGCUGCACAGUGAAGGAAAGCAGAAACCAACAUCCUCCCCCUUUCUGUGAACAUCACUGGGCAGCGUGUUUGCACAAUAUCAGUACAAACCCAACUUCUGCACAUAGGUACAGUGUUGAUCCCUUGAUACAAUCUUGGACAAUACAUCAGCAGGAAUUUCAUUACCUGGCAUAUAGGACACCGUUACGAGUCCCUUCUGAAUACAUUCCCUAGCAUGCUGCAACUUUAAUUGCAAGUGCUUUGUGCUUUGCUUACAACCUUCAGACUUCAGCAAAGCCAAACAUGCUUUGUUGUCCUGGUAAACCUGGAUUGGACAUUUGACAGGAAUUUUCAUAUCUUUGCACAAUUGUACUAACCAUUCACAAUCCUUAAGUGAAUAAGACAGUGCAUUCAGUUCGGCUUCACAAGUACUUAAGCUAACUGUUGUUUGCUUCUUGCAUGACCAAUCAAACAGACCCUGAUUGUACAUGUAGCAAACUCCAGACGUACUUUUCCUGUCUGUAGUGUCACUUCCAAAACUUGCAUCUGCAAAUAUCUCAAGACCACCAGACUUCUGAUUGUUAAAUCUCAGUCUGUAAUGCAUAGUGCCUUUCAAAUACCGCGCUAUGCGUUUCAGAGCUUUCCAAUCCUUGACACUAGGAUUGUUGACUUGUCUGCUUAGCAAAUUACAGCUAACAGCAAUGUCUGGUCUUGAACAUCUGGCAAUGAAGUUUAGCUUGCCUAGCACACUCCUGUACAGUGUAGUGUCAGAAAAUGCUUCUUCAGUGUCAUCUACCUGAUAACCUGUUGUCAUCGGUGUGUCUACAGGGUUAGCAUCCAUCAGAUUUAGUUUGCUUAACACAUCAGCAAUUUUCCGUGACUGGUGUACUAGAAUGUUACCAUCUUGAUCUCUCUCUAUUUCCAGAGAUAGGUAGUUGUUUACCUCACCAAGAUCUUUCAUGUCAAAGUGCUCUUUCAGUUGAGCUAGGGCGCUAUUGUACAUUGCAACAUCUUUCCAAAAGAAUAAUAAAUCAUCAACAUAAAACAAACAGUACAGUUUCUUUUGCCCCUCCUCUUUGACAAAUACACAUGGAUCAGCUUUCCCUUGCUGAAAACCUAGAGAAAACAAUACUUCAGUGAGUUUUGUGUGCCAACACCGUGCACUUUGUUUGAGACCAUAAAGGGAUUUCUUCAGAGCACAAACAAAUCCCUGUUUUACCUGUACGCCAUCAGGUGGAAGCAUAUAAAGUGAUUCAUCUAGAGAUCCGUACAGAAAAGCUGUAUUAAUAUCAUGGUGACUAAUGUGUAGAUUUUCCUCUGCAGCUAGCUUGAGCAUAAGCCUAAUGCUUUCAUAUCUCACUGUGGGUGAAUAGGUCUCGUGAUAGUCUUCACCUGGUACCUGUGCAAAACCUCUGGCUACCAAUCUGGCUUUGUGUCUGACUAUCUUGCCAUUUUGAUCUGUCUUCGCUUUGAAGACCCAUUUGCUUCCAAGCAGUUUCAUUCCUGGAACUACUGGAACUAGCUCCCAUGUUUUGUUCCUUUCUAAGGAAUCAAGCUCAGCCUUCAUGGCAUUUAACCAUGGCUCAGCUUCCUUUGAAUCCAAACCCUGGAUUUCUUGGAAACUUGAAGGUUCAAAUACCUUCUUGGAGCUUUUAACAGCUGUUACUGCUAUCUUAGCAAACUCAUCAGCAAAUCUCUUUGGAGGUUUGCCUUUUGUGGCUCUCUGUGACCUACGAAUUAGCCUUAAGUCUUCAACACUCUCCUCUUCCUUCUUAGGAGAAAAACGACCUAUUGUGAACAAUGGUUCCUCCAAUUCUUGAUCAGAGCUUUCAGAGGGUCGCAUAGAGGCUUUCGCACUCUUGAAAUCCUCUGAAUCACCCGAUUCAGUUUCAGAUUCAGACUCAGAACCUUCAUCAGUGGGUGUGGGUUGUUGUGGUUGCUUUUGACUAUCCUCAGUCUCCUCACCGUCAUCAGGAUGACAUUGGAAAAUUCCCACAUUCUCCCCCCACUUUGCAUUGUACUCAACACUUCUCGUGAGCUUAAUUGUCUUAGAGUCAGUCAUCAUUAUUCUGUAAGACCCUUUCUGAUAACCUAGAAAGAUACCAUGCAAUCCACGCUUGUCUAACUUGGAGUUUUGUGGUGAGCGAACCCACAUGUCAGAACCAAAAUCUUCAUGUGUUUGAUGUAUGGCUUCUGCCAAACAUCUUCUCAUAGGGGGUACAACCAAUCGCUGAAGAUAGCCUGCGAUUGUAACUGUAAACAAAACACGAGAGAGAUUCGGCCCAAUAACUCUCUGGAAGAUUGGCAUCAUGCAGCAAGGUUUUUAAUCCUUGAAGCAAUGUCUGAUUUGCCCGUUCCGCAAGUCCAUUCUGCCAUGGCGAGCGAGGACUAGACAAAUCGUGUUGAAUUCCUUUCUCAGUCAGAAAAGCUUCAAACUGCUGAGAAGUGAAUUUCCCCCCGCGAUCACUGAAAAGAGUCUUUAUCUUCUUACCAUGCACAUUUUCCAACCAAGCACAGAAUUCCUUGAACCUAGGAAAAGCCUCCGAUUUCUGCUUGAGAUUGUACACAAAAAUAUAUCUAGAAAAUGCAUCAAUGAGAACCAUGAAGUAUCUAUUUCCACCCAAAGAGGGCGAUAGUGGUCCAACCAAAUCAGCAUGAACAACCUGGUAUGGUUCUGUAGCUUUCCUACUAGACACCUUACCUUUCGCAGCCAUUUUCACCUUGUUUGCUGCGCAUGCUUUGCACUUCAUGUGGUACCUGCAGGGUUUAAUAGUCAUACCUUCAACCAAGGCAGGCAUUUUAGAUACUGCCUCAAAAUGCAAAUGACCAAAUUUGCGAUGAAAAUCGUGAAUACAUUCUGCAUGCAAACUUUUGUUAGAACCUGCAAUGCAACAAGUGUCAUCCUGCACCACAUCAUCAUAAUACAAAACAAACAAAUGAUCAACAUAUUCUGCAUGCAAUACAUAAUCAUUUUUCUUUGUGAUGAUGCACUUCUUGUUCUUGAAGGAAACGUCAAUGUUCCGCUCAUUCAGCUGUCCAACGCUGAGCAGAUUAUGUUUGGCGUCUGGCACGUAAAGCACAUUCUGUAUCGAUAAGUCCAAACUGUGAAGAACAACAGUUCCGUAGCCUUUACUGGGAAUAGUGUGGUCAUCCGCCUGGUGAAUCGCACCUUCCUGCGGUGUAAAAGACACAAACAGUUUCUUAUCGUUGCACAUGUGGUGGGUGGCCGCUGAAUCAACAACGAAGAAAGAUCUAGACGUCUUCUGGACCUCUGCAACCUUUGGAGUGAAGCGUGAAACCAUAGCCUUGUGCUGCGUUGUCCUAGACACCGGACCUUUGCCUUUGCCUCGGCCUUUCCGCGCGAUGAGCCGCUGCGCUGCUCUGUCUUGGCCCUGGGAUGUCUGCAUUCCUCUUCAUAUGGCCUAGACGUCCACACGAGUAGCAUUUCACUGCCUUCAAAGCUUUGGCGCCAUCUGGUGGUUCCACUGCACUAUGGGAUGACGUCUGUGAAGACUCCCUUGCCCAUGCAGCUAGCACCCCGGCGAUCUGCUUCAUUUAAAAUCACGGCAGUAACAAAGUCCACUGUCAGCUGAGCAGUUGGUUGCACAGCAAUCUGGGUUGCAACAGACUCCCAACCUGAACCCAAAGAUUGUAGUAUCAUGAAAGAAUACACAGCCUCUGGAAAGUUGGAGUCCUCUCUGUUGCAGCUCAUGUCUCAGAUUUUGCAUCUGCAUCAGAUGUAAACGCACAUCUCCACCUUCAGCAAGAGCCAUAUUAUGCAGCUUGUUAAAGUAAUACAUAGUGGAUCCAGCUUCUGUCCUUAAGUGAGCCUCUCUCAGAGCGUCCCAAAUUUCUCUGGCUGAGGUCUUAUCACGCAAUAGACAGAGCUCUUCUGGGGAUACUAUCAAUGUAAGAGUUCCCCUUGCUUUGGAAUCCUUAGCUUCCCAUGCAUCUGUAACUGGAACUGGGGGUUCCUGUAAUCACCUCAAACAAACCCUCUUUCCGCAGAAUUGCCUCUGCAUACUGAACCCAGUCGCUGUAAUUUUUCUUGUUGAGCUUAGGAAUCCCACAAGCAUCCUGAAGGGCCAUCAUGACUCUGGCAUUAGCCUUCAGCGUCAUAUGCUGCUUUAAAUCUUGCUGCGUCACUGCUGCAGCUGCCUCAUUACAAAGGCACACUUAAAAGUUACUUCGAUUUCCCCAGCAUAGUGACUUGUGCCUGGGAGCCUUUUGCCUAUUCCCAGCAAAACCGGCUUUAAAAGUUCAAAGUCCAGCCAUAAAGCCAUUAACUUGAAGCUGGCAGGCUGCCCGGAGCAGUAGCACAUACCUCAUCAAUCACUUCUACGCGCAGAGCAGAUUCCUUUCCGAUCCGUCCUCCCUCUGCAUUCCGUUCCUUUGCCGGCACUCCGAUUCGACCUCUGGGCCCAUAACCACGUGUUGAUUUAAGCAGAGUCUGUCGUGCCCAACGGAAGGAUGAGAAUACGUGCUGCAUACUCUAUAUUGCUUUAUUUACAGUUCAAAGCUGGUAUAUUACAGAAAGACAUCUUGCCUCUGCAAGAGCAGAAAAUGCAUCCUCUCUCCUCGACAGCUCGGAGAGAAUCACACAGUGAAAAACAGGAAACCAGUGUACGUCACAUCCAGUCUCCCUUUCCCGUGAGAAACUCCAACAGUACAGACUGUGGAAUGUAAACACCUGUCUCAUGACAAGCAGAGCUGCACAGUGAAGGAAAGCAGAAACCAACAGUACUUGCUGAAGAAACAUGGUUUCACAAUUUCUUUCUAAAAUCACCAAGCUGUUCAUUUGCCUGAGUAAGGGAAGCCAAAGGAGAGAGAAAAUUGGGAAACUUUGGAGGCCUUUAGUAAUGUAUACCAUGAGAGGGAAACCUCUGACCUGGGGGCCAAAUGCAGCCACUGCCUGCCCCUCCACAGGGCCCAGGAAAGGGGUGGGUCAGGUGGUACAUCGUUCCUCUGCUUGGGGUCACAAGGGGGACCUCCAAAAAUGUUUCCAUAUAUUGUGUGAAGACUAGCAUUUUCAUUUUGUGUAAGACUACCUAAUAUGCCCCGAGGCCUCUUCCUCCCUCUGCUUCCUCUUCUGCCAACAUGCCUCUGCCUACUUGUCCCCAUGGAAACAGAGAGGUGGCACUGACGUCCUGGUGAAAGAUAGCGUGACUGGGCAAGGUGAGAGGUGAGUGAGAAGGUGGACUUUCCUUGCCUCUCCUGUGGACGAUGUGCUCCGCCUUCUGAGGGGACUGCCAUCCGCCUGUGAAGUGUGGGAUAUUUACCAUGCAGCCAAACCAACAGUGCAUGUUUGCUACAUAGGCAAAUGACAGGAGCUGAAGCCCUCCGAGUUCCUUCCUGAAAGUUUCCCAGAACGAACUCUGAGAGACACUCCCACCGCUCUGGGGAGGGUGUAGGCAUUUAGUCAUGUCCGAUUCUUCAUGACCCCAUGGACCAGAGCACGCCAGGCACUCCUGUCAUCCACUGCCUCUCGCAGUUUGGUCAGACUCAUCUUGGUAGCUUCAAGAACACUGUCCAACCAUCUCGUCCUCUGUCGUCCCCUUCUCCUUGUGCCCUCCAUCUUUCCCAGCAUCAGGGUCUUUUCCAGGGAGUCUUCUCUUCUCAUGAGGUGGCCAAAGUAUUGGAGCCUCAGCUUCAGGAUCUGUCCUUCCAGUGAGCACUCAGGGCUGAUUUCCUUCAGAAUGGAUAGGUUUGAUCUUCUUGCAGUCCAUGGGACUCUCAAGAGUCUCCUCCAGCACCAUAAUUCAAAAGCAUCAAUUCUUCGGCGAUCAGCCUUCUUUAUGGUCCAGCUCUCACUUCCAUACAUCACUACUGGGAAAACCAUAGCUUUAACUAUACAGACCAUUGUUGGCAAGGUGAUGUCUCUGCUUUUUAAGAUGCUGUCUAGGUUUGUCAUUGCUUUUCACCCAAGAAGCAGGCGUCUUUUAAUUUCGUGACUGCUGUCACCAUCUGCAGUGAUCAUGGAGCCCAAGAAAGUAAAAUCUCUCACUGCUUUCAUUUCUUCCCCUUCUAUUUGCCAGGAGGUGGUGGGCCCAGUGGCCAUGAUCUUUAUUUUUUGAUGUUGAGCUUCAGACCAUAUUUUGCGCUCUCCUCUUUCACCCUAAUUAUAAGGUUCUUUAAUUCCUCCUCAAUUUCUGCCAUCAAGGUUGUGUCAUCUGCAUAUCUGAGGUUGUUGAUAUUUCUUUCGGCAAUCUAUUGGAUAAUAUCCAAUAAAUACAUCAUCUCCUAGCAUCAAUACACAUCUUUACUUGAAGGGCAGCAGGUGAUGGCAUGAUGUGAUGUUGAUGUCAUGGCAUCACGUUGUGUGUGUGUGGGGGGGCACCCACAAUCUGGGGCCCAGGUUGGUGCCUCUGGUUACAGGUGUCUUCCCUUCCUGCUGCAACAGGCUCUUCCUCUUUGUCCUCCUACUGAAAAAACCCCAGGAGGGGCAUAAAAAGGACAGAGGAAAGAUUAGCUGCUCACAGUCUCAGUCUUGGAAAAAGCCCUGGAGAGGAGGAGACAUAGGCAGAUAUGGGGCGUCGGGGACUUUUCAUCUUGGCAGUUGAUUUCAUGGAGGAAGACCCACAGGGAAUGAUCUGCUGUGCUCAUUAGGCCUAACACUCUGUGAAAAUUGUGUUUUUCCUAAGAAAGAGUUUGAACACUACAAUUUACUGACUAUGACACAGACACAUGUGGCAGUGGAUUUGGAAGGUGAUAGAUUUUCUCUGUAGCUUAUAUGCAUGCAGUGGAAAACAAGGAAUGCUAGAGUCAAGGCAGAUGUUACUUCCUUGUGGAGCCUUUGCAGAAGAAAAUAUGCUGUAUUCGUUGAUUGAUUCUUAAAGAAAUUGCUGAAGUAUUAGCUUACAAAUAUUGUAGGAUUUUCUUUUCUUAUAUUACCCCUUUGGCCAAAAAUAUGUUAUAAUGCAUCAUUUUGAUAAGGAAUGGCAGGAUUUGUUUUGUUUUGUUUUUGCAGAUGUAGCUAUUUCUUUCCAAUUGUCUCUCGCAGGUGCUUCUAGAAAAUCCAAGUUUGAAAUGGGAUGCUCUACAAAUUGACCCUAAGCAAAUUAUAAAAGGCUCCCAUGCAGCACACCUUUGGGUCCCCUGCCUACCCCAUCGCCUCCAACCGAGGGGCCAAUUUUUGCUAACAGAGCAGUCUUUGUUGCCAGCUGAGAGAGAGCAAUAAAAACUUUUAAUGUAGGUAAUGACAGCAGUGAGAAUACUAUGGGCCUGGAGAUGGAAAGAGGAUAAAGUUCCAACCAAAGAAGAGUGGAUGAUGAUGAUGGACUACACCGAAAUGGCGAAAGUGACCAGGAGAAUGAGAGACCAGGACGAGAAGAAGUUUGAGAGAGAAUGGGAAAGAUAAGCUGAAGAUAAGCUGAAGAAAGGAUAGAUAUGGAAGCCAGAGAGGGGCGGGGGGAAGUCAAGGGAUUCUGGGAAUCCAAAUGUGAAGGUGAAUGAUAUGCUUAAAUUGAAAUGUGUUAUGAAAAAUUGAAUAAAAAAAUUUCAAAAGAAAAAAGGAAAUGGUAGCUCUGUGUCCUGAACACAGCCAGGUGUCACGCAAACCUCUGCACCACUUUCCCCUGUGAAAAAUCCUGUGGUUUAGUGCUGAAUUGGAACAAACAGCAAUCAGGUUUUUCUGCAAAUUUCCUGGAAGGAAAGCAGUGGGCACUGGCGGAGGAAGAGGCGUGAGGGGGGAGCGCACCGCUCCCGGCAGCGUGAACCCGGCAGUGCGCCAUCAUGGCUGUCCCUCUGAACACGCUGGUGCCACGCCCCCAUGAUGUGCCCCUACGGGUGGUGCGCCAUACCACUGGGAUGCUCACCAGGCCCGCCCCUGCCUGCUCUCUACCCCCCCCGGUGCCGGAGCAUGAAGCUCCACCACUGGCAGUGGGGCAAGGCAACACCAAUCAGACCCGUGCCUGGAAAGGAUGGUGCAAGUGGAAAACCACCUGGAACUGUGCUUUCCAGGCAUGGGACAAGUGGAAGUGGAGGGGGGGAUCCAGAGGUUUCCAAAGAUAUGACUGCCUGUGGGUGCACCACAAGCUCUCCAAACUAUCUGAAGAAGUGUACAUGCACACGAAAGCUCAUACCCCUUGCAGCUCUUCUCCUGUCGUCUCCUCCUCCUCGAGGUCUCCUCCUUCAGACUUCUCCAGGAACACCACUAGGAGAAGCCUCACUGGUGGCACAGAACCCCAGAAUUCCCUAGCCCCUUCCCUGCGAUGCCUAGAAUAAAAUAUUGUGGUAGCCCAGGCAAGCCCUGCCCUGCAUAAUUGACUACAUGAUGCAGUGCACAAUAGCAAUGCCCAUUAACUUGGGGGGGGGGAGGCACCUCAAAUAUUUUAUUGUGGGGGCCAAAGCCCCCGCUGCUCCUAGGAAUUAGCUCCUAUGCCCCUUCCCCUGUAACCUUCACCCAACUCCUCUGCGCCUGUCUCCUCUGCCCACACAUCACCCCCUUUGGGGCCCUGCCCAUCCCUGACACUCUGUGAGGGUAAUUGAGGUGGGUCUUCUAAUAACUUUCAGCCCCCUUAAUAAUCUACAUUUCCCACCGUUUUUGAUGAUACUGCUGUAAAUGCUGCACCCCAUUAUACAAGACUCACCAGUACUGAUGCUGACUCCAUAGUAGAAGCAGCGAUCCUCCUUAUUUUUAUAGUUGAGCCACACAAGUAUCUGACAUGAGGGAGAAGCAACUUGGGCCCUUGAGCCCGUUGGGCAUCCUCUGCUCAUACUCAGGCAAUGUCAAACAACCCUUGCCGUUAGUCUGCUCAGCGUAUUUCUUUUGCAGAUGCAAUCCACCUCUCGUUGUAGGUGAGUGGCGGGAAUUGUACCAGCUUCCAGCAUUUCUCCAAGUGCAGCGCUUCGGCCUCGCUCCAUUCACUCAGGGCUACAUUCCAAGAUACAAAAUGGUAGCCCACACACACCCACACACACCCACACCCACACCCACACACCCACCCACACACACACACACAGACAAUGGUGGACAAUGUUCUACAAAACAGUCCUCUUUAUUAGGGAGAUGUAAUGAUCUCAGGCAGGCAAACAAGCUCCGAUACGAAUUAAUGAGCCUCUUGGAAGAUUUAUGGUAAGUUUAUUAACAAUUAACACACAGAGAGCGGCACGAGCCCGCCAUUCUCGGCUAAGAAUUGCCCAGUCUGUGUCCCUGCCGUGUACGCAACAUGAAGGCCGACAAUGUCCAGUCCUUCCCCUCUUGUCCUUCUGUUGCAUCUUAACCCUUUCCUAUCUCCUGCUUUGUGGAGAAAGUGGGCAGACUUCACCCCCACUCUCUAAAGAAGUGUACUCUGAAUGCUGCUUUCCUCCAGGUUGCCUAGCAACUCCCCCCAAGGUCGUCUCCCCCUUCAUUCCCAGACUGUGAGCUUCCUGGGUCUGCUGCUCUAAAAUGUCUUGAAACUCUGAAGGGUGCAGGCUCAACUCACCCACUCUGGUGCUGCCUGUGUCUGCGUUCUCUCAGUCUCAGAGUCAGACCUUUCCCAGUCGUCUGACUCUACUACAUCCCUGGCAAAUGUUCCCCCCAACAAAUGUUGCAUUUGGAAAAAACACACACAGGAUACAACACUCAUUAUUGGCUACAUAUAUUUAUUUUGGACAUGCUUCAAUGACCUCAUUUGAACAGGAAAGUCAAAUACAGCCUUUCCUUGAGGAGGAGCCUCUAGAAUUCUGGAAAUAAAGCCUAAGAGGCUUCAGGCUGAGACCUCCCCUGAUUCAAGCACAAGGCAGCCGAUUUCCCUAAAUUGUGGGUUCUUCUGGGAGUUGGAGAUUUGUUCUCUCUCUCAACUACAGUUCAUAGACAGAGUGAUUUGCUUUGAAGCACUCUGCUCUAGUGAUCCGGACUCCCAAAUAAUCACCCUUAAUCUCUGUCAAUCCAUGAAUGGAGCGACACAUAUUUGCUGUUGCACAGCCUCGGGUAGCAAUCUUUACCGUAUUAUUCCCUGUUGAAAAAAACACACAGACAUGUGUGUGUGUGUGGGGGGGGGGAAAUGGAAUAAACAGCUACAGGGAUCUAAGCAGGAAUUCAUCAAGGUUUAUUAAUGAUCUUGCAGUUUUCAGAAGAGCACAAUAUGGAACACUAAUUCCAUAUGCAUCUGGCUGUCACCAGUAUGUUCCCGGCAGCUGUCCACCACCAUGGGGCACAUCUAGACUUGAUAACAGAGCAGUCUAUUCUGCCGGCUGCACUUCAGGUUCCACUGGAAAUCUAUGGUCCAGUUCUUAGCUUAAGUGAUGGAGAACUAGGAUCGUGGAUUACAAACUCCCAACUUGGUCCAGCUUUGGGAGUGACAGCAGCAGCCUGGGCUUGAUUACAUGCUACUUAAGCUUUGUGAAUCACAAGAGCUUGUCUUGCUCUGCCGCUUUCCCCUGGGGAAAGCCCUGUAAUUCAGUGCAGAAUCAGAACAAUCAGCAAUCAGGAUUUUCUGCAGAUUUCUUGGGAGGAAAGCAGUGGGGCAAGGCAAAACCAAUCAGACCCUGUGCCUAGAAAGGAUGUUGCAAGUGGAAAACAACCGGGAACUGUGCUUUCUAGGUAUGGGACAAGUGGAAGUGCAGGGAGGAUCCAGAGGUUUCCAAAGCUAUGACUCUCUCUGGGAGCACCACAAGCUCUCCAGACUCUGAGGGAGGGUGGAUGAGUGGGAAGAAAAAGAGACGUCCUGCAACUCUUCUCCUCCUCUUUCUCCUGCUUUGUAUUUGGCUUCCUGGUCUCCUCCUCCUGACUCCUCUCUUCCACCACCACCAGGAGCUGCCUCACGGGUGGCACAGAAGCCCACAAAUCACUAGCCCCUCCCCUGGAUGCUCCUCUGCCUGCCUCCUCAGCUCACACAUCCCUCCUCCUAGGGCUCCUGACUAUCCCAGACACACUGUGAAGAUAAUGGGGGUCUCCUAAUAACUUUCAACACCCAUGCCAACAUAUUUUGGGAGAAGCCAUGACUGUUCAAGGUGGAGUGAUACUGCUUUAAAUGCAUAGGGCAAAUGGGGCCCUAGCUGCACUCAGCGAAUGCAGAAACUCACCGUAAGUGCCGCUACCCCCAAAGUAGAAGCAGUGGUCCUCGUCAUUUCUGCAGCUGAUGGUGUUUUUCAUGUAGGUGCACCGAUCUCCUCCUAAGUAGAGGCAACUUGGACACUUCAGCCCAUUGAGCUCCCUCUUCUCAGGCUCAGGCACUGUAAAACAAUCACCACCCAACCAUCAUCUUUCAGCCUGACCUGUUUCACAGGGUUUUUUGAGUCUAAAAUGGUGAGCUCUUUGGAGCAAAGGGUAAAUAUUAAAGCUGCUGCAGGAGAGGGACCCAGGUGAGGGGUGUUUCUUAGACUAAGGUAAAACUGUCAAGCUCUCUGGUUAUUUUUGCUAAUGGUUGCUGCAAGUGAUUGUGUUAUAUUUAUAGUAUUUAAACACGAGUUUGGGGUUUUUUAAUAUUUGCUAUUGUUUUACUAUGUUAUUAUGUAAUGCAGAUAUCCUCUUAGAAUGCACAGAUCCCUUGGCAAAGGCUGGAGCCCACGUUGCGGAUGGUUGUAGAAGGCCUGGCCAAUCCAGAGGCAUCAUAGUGCCUCACCAGUCACACCUGAGGAGGCCUCAAUAUGUAGUUCAGCCCAGCCUAACUUCAAGCUUUGGGGUUCUCAGUUCAAAUCCCAACCCAAGUUUCUGUCUCUAAUUUGGAAAAGGACUGGAGGCAGGAGGGAGGGAGAGAGAGAGAGGCAGACUCUGCUGAGAGGCCUGUCCUUCACGUCCAUGGUGUCCCCACCUCUCUUCCUCUCCCCAAGGGGAAGGUGAGUUGCCCCUGCCCUUCCUGGAAAUGGCUCCUGUCAGAGCUGGGUGGCAGUGAUGUUGGUGGGGUCUGGGGAGGGGUCUUCCCAGCAGGGAGAGGGAAGCGAAUGCACCCGGGGCAACCAGCCCUCUUGCACCCCCACUGCAGCUGCGGCUGCAGCUACGACUCACGAACAACACGUUCACUGUUGCACAUAUCUGUGUCACAGCAGUAGGUCUUGGUCACCAUGUACAUAUUUGGCGUUACGGUGGCCCUGGAAUAGCCUGUUUGGCAAAACUGUCCAUUGGCGCAGGACCUGUAAACAAAUUUCCUCCCAAAAGCCACUAUAGAGGAAAGAAAAAACAAGACCUGGAGAUAUGGCUUGCCCACACAAGAGGAAAUAUCCCCAGGGGCAGCCUCCUAUGAAAGCAUUGCAGGCUGCUGCCAUGUUUGCAGCUGUGGUUUGUUCCUUGGAGGCCAGAUCUGCCACCUCCUCAGCAGCCCCUCCAAAUGCCGCCCUGUAAUGGCCUCUUGGCAAUUAGGAGGUGCUUCUGGUCUCCUCCCAGCCUUGUUGCCAACGUACAUCUUAUUCCCACAUAAAAUUCCAGUGUAGAUCCCCAUUCCCACCCCCUUGUUCCUGAUGUAGAUCUUCAGUCCCCCCUUCUUCCCUGCCUGGCGGGUGGGCAGCAUUUCAUGGUUCGCCUGAGGUGUCACAAUAUCUUGGGCUGGCCUGGCCUGGAGCGGAGAGAGUUUUAUCUAUUUGUUGAACGUGAGGCAGGGAUGGAGAACUUUUGAAAAGUCCUCAUGAAAAUUCACCAGCAGAGAAUGCUGUUUCUAUUCCAGUCAAUACCAGUGAUAGGAAGAUAGUGUUGGGAUACUGCCAGGGAGAUAAAGUCCAUCAUGGCCCCAAGCCGUCUGCCGGACGAUCCCUCGACCUCCCGUAGGCACGCAGCGACAUGAGUUUCUAGAAAAUAUCUUGUACACAUUCCAGAGCUCAUGCACGCUCUAUCAGCAAUUAGCACAGCCAAAAGUUGCACUCAGGAGAGCAUUAUUUACAAGUUUAUUCAGCGUUGAUCAGAACACAGAAAAACAUGACUGACUGCUUUAGUGUCUGCGACACCAGAGAGAAAACGAAAGCAACAGAAAACAUAAACAUCCUGUGAACAGGAAAUACGCAGACUCUGACUCACAAAGCCUGCUCCCUUUUAAGGUGGAACGGAAAUAUCCUAACAUCCUCCCCUUUCCGUGUAACCUGUAGUACCUGUGGUUCAACCCAAUUGCAACCUUUGUACAUAAACCUUAAGUUGUUCUCUGUUAACAACCUUAGACAACAGAUCAGCAGGAAUUUCAUUUCCUGGCAUGUAGGACACCUGAAUGAGUCCUUUCUGAAUACACUCUCUUGCACGAUGUAGCUUAAUCUGCAAGUACUUGGUCCUUUGCUUGCAACUCUCCGAGUUCAGCAAAGCCAAACACGAUCUAUUGUCUUGAUACACUUGUACAGGACAUUUCACAGAAACUCCGAUGUCCUUAAACAGUUGCAUCAACCAUUCACAAUCCAUGAGUGAAAAUGACAGAGCAUUGAGUUCUGCUUCACAGGAACUUAGGCUCACUGUCGUCUGCUUUUGCACAACCAGUCAAACAGGCAGUGGUUGUACAUGUAGCAUACCCCAGAAGUGCUUGUACCAUCCGUGGUGUCACUUCCAAAACUUGCAUCUGCAAAGAUUUCAAGACCUCCAGUCUUCUGACUGGUGAACCUCAGCCUGUAGUGCAAAGUCCCUUUCAAAUAGCGGGCUAUGCGCUUCAGAGCUUUCCAAUCCUGAACAGUAGGAUUGUUGGCAUGUCUGCUAAGCAGGUUAGCAGCUUACAGCUAUGUCAGGUCUUGAGCAUCUAGCAAUGAAAUUCAACUUGCCUAGAAUGCAUCUGUACAGCGUUGUGUCAGAAAACGCUUCAGCAGUACUGUCUACCUGGUAACCUGUCACCAUCGGUGUGUCUGCUGGGUUUGCAUCAACCAAAUUCAACCUGGUUAAUACAUCAGCAAUUUUCUGUGUUUGGUGUACCAGAAAAUUACCUGCUUGGUCCCUCUCCACCUGCAGAGAAAGAUAGUUGGAUACCUCACCAAGAUCCUUCAUGUCAAAGUGCUCCUUCAGCUGAGCUAGGGUGCUUUGGUAGAAAGCCUGAUUCUUCCAAAACAUCAGAAGAUCAUCAACAAAACAUAAACAAUACAGUUUGUUUUGCCCCUCCUCCUUGACAAACACACAUGGAUCAGCUUUGCCCUGGUGAAAACCUAGAGAAAGCAACGUCUCAGUGAGUUUCGUGUUCCAACACCUGGCACUCUGCUUGAGACCAUAUAAGGAUUUCCGCAGUUUACAGACCAUUCCCUUCUGUAUCUGCAUCCCGUCAGGUGGAAGCAUAAACAGCUCCUCCUCCAAAAUCCCGUACAAAAAGCUGUAUUAAUGUCAUGAUGGGAAACAUGCAGUUUCUCCUCUGCAGCUAUCUUGAGCAUCAGCCGAAUGCUCUCAUAUUUGACGGUGGGUGAGUAGGUCUCGUGGUAAUCCUGUCCUGGUACCUGUGAAAACCUCUGGCAACCAAUCUGGCUUUGUGUCUGACAACCUUGCCAUUCUGGUCUGUCUUGGCCUUGAAGACCCAUUUGCUGCCAACCAGUCUCAUUCCUGGGACUACCGGUACCAGUUCCCAAGUUUGGUUCCUAUUCAAGGAAUCAACUUCAGCCUUCAUGGCAUUAAGCCAAGGCUCAGCAUCUUUAGAGGUUAACUCCUGAACCUCUUUGAAGCUUGAAGGUUCCCACACCUUCUCUGAGCUACUAAGAACAGCAGUUGCUGUCUUAGCAAACUCAUCAGCAAAUCUCUUUGGAGGUCUGCCCUUUGUGGCUCUUUCAGAUCUGCGUACUAGACGCAAGUCUUCUGGACUCAUCUCCUCCUUCUUAGGAGAAAAGUGACCAAUGGUGAACAGUGGUUCUUCCAGUUCAUUGUCAGACGCAUCAGAUGGUCUGACUGAGGCCUUUGCGCUCUUGUAGUCUGCUGUGUCAUCACUGUCACUGACACCAGCAGCAGCGCCGCCCACUGAACUGGAAUCCGAACUCUGAUCAUCAUCAUCAUCAUCAUCCUCAGCAGCUUCCUCAGCUUUAGCUGCUUCUUUGACAUCACCUUCAUCCUCCUCUGGGUAACUCUGGAAAAUUCCCACAUUUUCCCCACUUAGGAUUGUACUCAACACUCUUUGUGAACUUAAUGGACUUAGAGUUGGUCAUCCAUACCCUGUAUGCACCUUUUCGUACCCCAUGAACAAACCAUGUGCCCCACGCUUCCCAAGCUUGUUGCUCUGUGGGUGUGUACCCACAUGUCAGAACCAAAGAUUCUCAUGUGUUUGAUGUUGGGUUUCUUACCAAACAUCUUCUCAUAGGGAGUACAACCAAUAGGUGAUGACAAUCUGCGAUUAUAAGUGUAAGCAAAAUUCGACAGAGCCUCCCCAAUACUUAUCAGGAGAUUGGCAUCAUGCAACAAUGUUUUCAUUCCUUGCAGCAACGUUUGAUUUGCUUCGCUCCGCAAGCCCAGUCAGCCCUGGCGAUCUAGGCGUGGACAAGUCAGGCUGGAGUCCCUUCUCAGUCAGGAAAGCGUCACACUGCUGAGAAGUGAACUCCCGGCCUCGAUCAGUAAACAGACAGCCACUACGCUUACCGUGAACAUUCUCCAACCAAGCACAGAAUGCCUUGAACUUAGGAAACGCUUGCGAUUUCUGCUCGAGCAUAAACACAUGAAUGUACCUGGAAAAAGAAUCAAUUAGAACCAUGAAGUACCUUGCUCCACCCAAAGAGGGCGCAAGUGGACCAACCAGGUCUGCGUGCACUAGCUGGUAGGGCUUGGAAGCCUGCCUGCUAGACUCCUUGCCUUUUGGAGCAACCUUCACCUUGUUCUCUGCACAAGAUACACAUUUCAUGUGAAACUUACAGGGUUUGAUGUUCAAACCCUCAACCAUCUCUGGCAUCUUGGCCAGCGCCUGCCAAGACAUGUGACAAAAUCUUCGAUGUGCAUCGUGAAUGCAUCCUGCAUGAAGAACUUUGUUAGUUUGUGCAACACAACAAGAAUCAACAUUAGACACAACAGCACCAAUGUCAUCAUAAGUUAUACAGAACAAGCCAUCCAUAAACUUUGCAUGCAAAAUGUCCUCUUUGCCUUUUCUGAUGACACAGACGCUCCUCUUGAAGGAAAUCUCAAAACCACGCCCAGUCAGCUGUGGGACACUGAGCAAAUUGUCUGCAGCACCUGGAACAUACAGUACAUCUUUGAUGGUAGUGUGCAGACUUGCCAGUUUCACAGUCCCUUCUCCUGCGAUUCGCAACGUCUUUCCGUCAGCCAGGUGGAUCUCACCUUCUUGAGGUUUGAAGGAGAUAAAUAGGUGGCGGUCCUUUGAGACAUGGCGGGUACAGCCUGAAUCAACAACAAACCUGGCCUUGGCUUUUGGAGCAGCCUUUGCAGCAAGCAAACCUUGUUUUCCACCGGCGUGGGCUUUUGCAGCUUGCCCCCUGCUCCUGGCCAUUAGACUUGCCUUUAGCCUUUGGUGAAGCUGUGCCAGCAAACAAAACCUUGUUUUCCUCUGGCGUGGGCUCUUCACCCUCCCUCUGCUUCUGGCCAUCUGCAGGCGUCUGCCUCUGUUUACCUUUGCCCUUCCGGCCUCUGCAAAGGCGAUGACCUUGGCUCCCAUGAGAAACAGAGCUCUCAGCUGCCGACUCCUUGGCUCCCUGGAGGCUGGAAUGCUGCCUGGGAUGACGUGACAGUCAGCUCCCCUGCAGCUUGCAACCGGUGCCCUCAGCAUCCCUGCAUUCACUCGCAUUCUGGGAAACAGCCAGGACCUCCGAUGCAGUCAAACUCUGGGCUGGGAUGACUGGCAAAUGGGCUAUCUUCAAAGCAUGCCACAUAUUACGUGCAGUCAGAUUGCCAGCUAGCGUUUUUAUUUCCUCCAGAGAGACGGACAAGACGAUUACGUCAACGGCCUUCGAAUUCUCGGCCUUCCAUCUAUCUGUCAGAGGAACUGGAGGGGCUUCAGACACAGUAUGCCACACUCCAAACUGACGCAGCAAGCUCUCACACCACACAGCCCAGGUCCCAUAAUUGUGCCGAUUUAACUUUGGGCACACAGCAGCCUCAGCAGCCUGGAAAAACUCCAUUCCAGCUUUUUACUUGAGCCUUGAGCCUUUAUGCCUUCAAAGACGGCACUUUAUGCCUUUAUGCCUUCUUAUCUUAGCAGCUAUAAAUCUUGAGGCCUUUGGCGCGGCUCCCAGAUCCAUUAAUCUGCCGGAGUUCAAAGGCCCUUGCCUCGGCAAACAGAAAAGCCUCACUUUCGCUUUUCCUCCACAUACCUUUCAGCAGUCUGUCGCAGUCUUACUCUCCUGUAAGUGCUGUGAAUCUGGGCCCGAAACCUGUUGUUGGGAUACUGCCAGGGAGAUAAAGUCCAUCAUGGCCCCAAGCCGUCUGCCGGACGAUCCAUCAGCCUCCCGUAGGCACGCAGCGACAUGAGUUUCUAGAAAAUAUCUUGUACACAUUCCAGAGCUCAUGCACGCUCUAUCAGCAAUUAGCACAGCCAAAAGUUGCACUCAGGAGAGCAUUAUUUACAAGUUUAUUCAGCGUUGAUCAGAACACAGAAAAACAUGACUGCCUGCUUUAGUGUCUGCGACACCAGAGAGAAAACGAAAGCAACAGAAAACAUAAACAUCCUGUGAACAGGAAAUACGCAGACUCUGACUCACAAAGCCUGCUCCCUUUUAAGGUGGAACGGAAAUAUCCUAACAGAUAGGACACCUCAAGGAAUGGCAAAAGGGUAUUUCUAGAUUCAUCUGGCAGGGGAACAGACCUAGAAUAAAAUAUAAAUUACAUGACUGGACAACUGGAUUGCAAAAAUGGGAGAAGUGUGGAUGUGAAAGGAAGGCUUUGUUUGGCUUUCAUAUUGUUUUGGAAAGAGCCAAGUAGGUAAGCUCACCUUCAAAUGUGAACUGACUUGAAUUUCCCUCUGGUUCCUACAUGUAAUACAGGAUCUAGAACACUGCAUUAUGAAAAGCCACACCCUGUGGUUUGUAGCUAAGAUAUGGCCUUAGAAAGUCUGGGGGUUUAUGUCUGGUGGUCAAAAGGCUGAAAGUUCUUCUCACUUACACCAUUCGGCCUCUGAAACGGAAGAAAUGCAGAGCUGACCUAUGUCUUCAUUACACUCCUGAAUGGUGUUUUCGCAGUCGUCGUCUUUAGUCCAACAAAACUGACAUUUCAGAGAUGCCACUGCAGACAUGGGGAAAUGGGUUUAGAAAACCUUAGCACCAUCCCCAUAUGGGAAAUGGGUACAUUAAGGCACAUCAACACCACAGUUCCUCCUACAAAGUCCAUCUCAUGAGAGGCAGUGAAGGCCACCAACUUGGAUGGCUUAAGAAAAGGUAUAGAUAAAUUCAAGGGGGUUAAUAAGUCUGUUGCUGGCUUCCAGCCUCAAGAGAUAUUUUCUCUCUCUAACACUGUAGGCACUAUUAGAUCCUGCUUGCGAACUUCCCAUAGGCAUCUGGUUCACCAUGGUGAGAACAAGAUAGUGGACCAAACGGGCCAUUUUUCACUUAUGCAGUGCUGUCUAUAUAUAUUUCCCCUGUAGUUCUUGAGCUGUGUGGGGGCUGAGUCUUGGACAGACCAGUGAAUGAUUGUCCUAGGUGGCUCCUGCAGUCUGAGAGAGAGGACCUGUAGGGCAGGUGUGAGGAAACCUUUGACACUCCACAAGUAGCUGAACUACAACUCCCAUCAGCUCCAGAAAGCAUGACCAAUGGCUCUGGAUGAUGGGCACUGGAGUUUGUCAAAGAUGCUCCACAUGUGCACUAGCAGAACUUAAAAAGGAAAGGUCUAUUUAUUUGAGAAGUGUUGAGGAGAUAAAACCUCAUGGAGGAGGUGGGGGGGCCCUAAGCUUUAAUAUGUGAGUACCUGUAUGAUGAGUUUCAACAUAUUGCCUAUUGAAUUGAAAAUGAAUUAUGGGCAAGCAGCUCAGUGGAACUGGAAUAACUACUUCGACUUGUCUUUAGUCUGUGUCAAGCCAAUCUGAGGAGUUCAGUAAUGAAAUGGGACUCAAUAUCCUUGGGGUGCAUUUUGUAUCACCAGGACACCCCUGAGUGGAGAAAAACCUCCUAUUGUUGACAUAACACUCUGCAUAAGUUUUUCUGGAAUCUUUCUCUUUCUUACUCUCUUUUUCUCACUCUUAUACAGACUCACCAAUAUGGACCUGAAUCCGCCCUUCACUUAUAACUGACUAUACAGUACACUGAAAAAGGGAAGGGAUGGCGGUGAAGGGAAGAAAUUGAGGUUAAUAGACACAGCACUGAUAGCAGCAAAGGAGGAGAGUAAUCCUGGGAUUAAUAAGGUGAGUGGUGUGAAGCAGUGGAAGAGGACAGAGGCUGGGCACUUACAGCAAAUAUUUUGGGGGUGUCAAGGCCCCCAUGGCCCCCUAGAGUUGGUGCCACUGUCAGUAGAGCUAGCUGGAUGGGGUCGUUGGAGGAACAAAAGGGUGAUGAUAGUCAGUCAUUAACUCAUUAAGAAGGCCAUUAAGAUAAACUCUUUGGGCUGGACAGAAAAUGGGGAAAACACCUACCUGAAGUGAGAGAUAGUUAGCAGAGACAAAAGGAUAGAGUUUCAGAGGAAGCUGCAGAAUCUGAGUGGACGAUGAGGUAAACAAACAGAAAAAAGUGCAAGAAACAUAUUCUUUGUUGUAGAUGAAAGCUAGGAUUCUGGUUUAUCCAACAGUGGACAACUGCCUCCCUUACACCCCUAAUGGACUUUGGAAUACUAAAGGGGUGUCUUCUUCAUUCUAGAGAGCUGAAGAGCCAGGAAGGAGUUUGAGAACAGCACUGAGCUGAACAAGGAACUGAUGCAUGAAGAGGCUUUGUUGGAGGAAUUUACAGAUGAUGUCAAGGAGCACUUUGCCAGCACCCAGGAACAACGGAUUCAGGACAGUGUCAUAAAUUGCUAGAAUUGUAAUUGUGCUAAACCAUAAUGUAAAGCACAGUGCUGAAAACAAAUUAAAUAUCUUCCCCCUUCCAAGUACUCCAAGGACACGUCCCUCCUAAUCUGUGCCAGCCUCAAUUUCACAUCCCUACUAGUCUAGAUUCUAUUAUCUGAGACAGGCUGGCUGGCAGGCAGAGAGAGAGAGAGAGAGAGAGAGAGAGAGAGAGAGAGAGAGAGAGAGAGAAAGACUGCUUGUGCUUUUGUAAUUCAACAGCUGCAGACCCAAGCUUGGGAAACACUGGCCUAGAGGACCACAGCUUCUCAUUCCUGAUAUAGGAGCUCUUUAAAGUCUGCUCUGAUUUUCAUCAUCCUGAGGAGAAGCAAAAACCCCAUCAAACUUGGCCGGCUCAUCAAAAUUUUUGCACCUGUGAAACAUUGGUAGAGUUAAAACAAUACCCACCCACCCACACCCUAUUAAAACCAUGCCAAUGAUUGCAGUAAAAACAUCGUGGCACCCGCUCUUCAUUUAAAGUAGUCAGUUCCCAAAAGCCCAUUGGAACAAAAAAGUCUUCACCUGUGCACUGCCAUCGUACUUUCUGACCCAGGUACACCUUCCUGGGGUCAUGUCUAGUUUUGUCAAAUGAGCAGUUAUCACCUGACUUGUCAAACUAGGUGUCCAUUGAGGGUCCCUUCCAGCUUUAUGAUUCUAUGACUUCUGCAGGUCAGAUUCCAGAUCAAGUCUCCAGUCGCAGCGAUGGACAGUACCAAUCCUGGUGGUGAUCGAACCCCCCACUACCCCUGGAAAUUCCUGCUGUUGUUAUUUACUACUUGCUUCUCACCUUUGUAGCAGGAACCCCCCCACCCCAAUCAUUCAGUUUGUACAAACUUCACACACUCACACUCACACACUACAUAUGCCACACUUCUGUUAUAAAUUCAUAGAAAAAUCAACCAUACAUUGGAUUUGCACUGUUCCAUUUUUAUUUUACUCCAUAUGACAAGGACUAUCAAAGGGGGGUGGCUUGGUUCUGGUCAGCCAUAAUCCCUUCACCAUCCCAGCACAUCCACAGGAGCUCUGCCCAGUUGCUAUGCCAACCCUGAUGGUCCUAGACAGAAGACCAUCAAGAUCACAAAGAACUUGCAUAUGGGAGUGGAUUCAGCAUGGACUGAAACAAAGGACAAUGAUCAGAUCUUCCCUCUGGGGGCAGGAAACUGCCAACUCCCCUUUGUCUCCUGGAAGUGACUCAUGGGGGGGGAAAGGAGGAACCAGCCAGGUGACAGGACACUCAGGUUACCACCACAACUCCUCCCUCAACCCCCUCCUUUCUGUAAUGUAUGCAUGAUGUCAACUCCUCCUUUCUGUAAUGUAUGCAUGAUGUCAACUCCUCCUUUCUGUAAUGUAUGCAUGAUGUCAACUCCUCCUUUCUGUAAUGUAUGCAUGAUGUUUCUGGGGGUGGGCUUGACCUAGAGGAUGGGAAUUUCAAAGUUUUUAUAAGGUCUUGCACACCAUCUUUCUGGGUCUUUUCCUCUCUCCUGCAAGGGAGGGGAACACCCUGUUGCAACAGUUCAAUAAAGGCCAAGCCUACAGGCUGCUGUUUUGCUCCAAGUUAUCCUGGUUGGUGUCUUUGUUUUUGUCCAAGGGAGCCCUCGGAUUUUUCCGGUAAUACCUUAAAUUCUCAUGAUGGAUUGUGGGAUUAAAGCAUAACAUUCAGAACAGUUUAAAGCAAUUUAUAAUCAGAGAAAUAAGGUGGGUUCUAAAAAUAUUUUAGAAAUUAAUAAAGGUUUGCAUCCCUUUCUCAUAACAGUAGAAUCUGUGAGGAGCCAAUGAAACUGAUUGUUGGAAGAUUCCAGACAGAUGGAAGAAAGUGCUGCACAUGGUUAAACUCUGGAAUUUGCUCACAGUAUUCCUUUGAAUAUCAGCUGCUGGGAAUCACAAGUGGGGAGAGUGGUGUUGCUGUCCAGUCCUGCUUUGAGGCUUUGCACAGGCAUCUAGUUGGCCAUUGCGACAACGGGGUUCUGGAACAGCUGGCGUUCUAAAACCAAGGCAUGCCUUCCCAUAGAAAGUACUGCAAAAUCGAUUAAUCCAUUCCAGACUUUCAAAAACAACCCCUAAAAUAGGGUUACCAGAUUUUUUUCAAUGAAUCCAGGGACACUUUUAAAAAAAUAAAUAAAUUACAUGCUUUAUUAUCCCUAAGUACAUCAGCUGUUUUGCUGUCUUGAGAAGUCUGGAGAGGGAGAGAAACCUGGGGGGUGGAGUUGGAAGCAGAGUUUGAGAAUACGACUGUGGGACGAUCACAGAAUCAUAGAUUUGGAAAGGACCUCUGAGGGGCAUCUGGGCCAACCCCCUGCAACUGAGGUACCUCAACUCAAGGAACCUCAACUUAAAAGAACAUAAGGCUUCCCUGCUCCAAUUUGACUUCUGCAGUUCCUGGGACAUGCUCUUGUUCAUGCUGUCUCUCACACUCAACUGCCUGGCUCUGCGCCAGCUCCACUCCAGUUGGCCGAGGGGAUAAAAAUCAUAUCACCCCAUCUUGCCCAGCAGAGAAACCGUGCACCUUGAGCCCCCUCCUGGACAAUGGCGCACCACCCGUCCGUGACUCCUGAGCCUCCCCCUUCCCCCUUCGUUUUGAGAGUUUCACAGGCUGCGAAAGAAGAGCUUUGCACCUUGCCCAGCAGAGAAACCGCACACCUUGCGCCGCUCCUGGGCCACAGCUGCCCACCCGAGAUCUCUCAAAAUGAAGGGGAAAGGGGACAGGAGAUCGGGGGAGGCUCAGGAAUCAUGGGCGGGUGGCUUGCUGUUGCCCAGGAGGGGAGCAAGGCACAUAGUUUCUGUGCCGGGCAAGGUGCAAAGUCCUUCUUUCGCACUCUUUGAUCCCCCCACCUCUGCCUCUGCCUGUGCAAAAUCUUCCCACCCCUCCAGCUGCAUAUCACUCUAGGAGAGCAGGGUGUCACGUUUCCUGGGGAUAUUUAAUGAAAUCCGGGGACAUUCCAGGGACAGAAUUUGUCUGGGGACAGAUUUGCAAAUCUGGGCGCUGUCCCUGGGAAACGGGGACGUCUGGUAACCCGACCUUAAAACAUCAAUUUAAAAUGAAUUUUAUAAAAUUCUAAUGAGACCAUCGAUCCAUAAAAUGAAAGCAAUAAUCAAUGUACUGUACUAUAAAACAAAUAAGAGAGUAUUAUAGAUGAUAAAAAUUUAAAUUAUUUUUUUCCUUACGUGCACUGAUGAUAGAAAUGGUUUGGAUGGGGGGCUUUUAUCCAUUUCUGCAGUCACAAUCAUCAGUAGCUGAACAGGGUUCCACACACUCACAAAAACAAGUGACAAAAACGGAGUCACAAGCCAGAGCACAAGUCAGUUCCAUGAAAUGAAGAACAAGUCACAGUCAAAAUAACGAAAAAGCCACACAAACAAAAAUAGCAAAAACAAAAGCUCCAAAUGUCAUCUCUGUGUUAUGUGGGUGUUUGGGACUCAACAGCCAACAGACUCAACAGGAAGCCUCUGAUAGGUGCAGAAGACUCAAUGUACAUACGGAACACAGUCAACAAGGAGUGGAACAUGUUCAGCUUCUAAGGCAAAGUUCACAAAACAAAACACCAACUUCUGGGUUUGCAGCGUUCUAUUUCCAAGUUGUUCAUAAGCUAAGCUAUCUAAAACCAAGGUACCACUGUAUAAGAAUGUACCAAAUAAAUGCUGGAAAUGCUCAGAGGUAGAAAGUUUUGAGAAUACCCUGAAAGGAAGAAUGGAUGAUGAAAGCCUUAGAAUACACAGAGUUGGCAAAGGUAAAGGAGGAGAGGCUGCUACAAGUGAGGCCCUUCCCCACAUAAUGCACUGGAUCUGAGAGGCAGGUAGAGGGCAGGGCCUCCUGGGCAGGAUGGAAGGGGGAGUGCAAGGAUGUGGUUGUGGAACUUGCCAUUCUUCUGAGAGAAAAUGCUGUGUGUGGGCAUGGUGGUAGUGGGGAACAACAAAAAUGGGGGGGGGGGACACACACGACAAAAAUGGGGGGAGUGUCAAUUGUGGGGAGUGAGAAAUGCCCCUGUUUUCAUCUGAGGAAUGUGGCUACUGAACAUCAAGAUGAAGCUGUUGGGAAGAGUCAUUUGGAGUUUUGGAGUGAAGUGUCAUCCAUAUGUCGACGAUACCCAAUUCUAGAAUCCCCAAUACACAAAACCCCAGAUAGGUGCCUGGAUGCCAUGGUGAAGGACAGCCAACAAACUGAGCUUGAACCAUGAAAAACUGGAGGCCUUGUGAAUGAUUGAUUUCUGGGUCUUGGAGUUAGGUCAAUUGCUUGGCUGCCUGGACACAGUGGUUCAUGCACUGGUAACUUCAAGACAUUCAAGGUGCUUAUGUUUAUUUCCACAAAUUCCAAAACAAUGUGAGCCCAAGGUGUCUUGAGGAGUAUGCAGUCCCUUAUGCUACACCUCAAGCAUUGAUAUUCUUUGAUUGGGGCAAUUCUUGUAGCUCCUUGCACCCCCGAGGUUUAGUCAGCCUUCAAUUCAUAGGAAGCCUUUAGUGCAACAGGACAGAGAAAAGCUUUUAUUCCUUUCUCACAGUACUAGAAUUUGUGGGCAGCCAAUGACAGUGAAUGUUGGAAGAUUUGAGAAAGAUGGAAGAAAGUGCUGCUUGAAAUAACACAUAGUUAAACUCUGGAAUUUGCUCACAGGAAGUAACAAUGGGCAGCAACAUGGAUGUGUUUGGUUAAGGAUUAGAAGAAAAUAAUGGAGGAUAAGGCUAUCAAUGGCUACUAACCAAGUUGGCCAUGUUCUUCCUCAAGUGUUGGAGACAGUAUUCCUCUGAAUGUCAGUUGCUGGGAAGCAUAAGGGGUUAGAGUGGUGUUGCUGUCCAGUCCUGCUUUGAGGCUUUGCACAGGCACCUGGCUGGCCUUUGCGACAACAGGGUUCUGGAACAGCUGGCCUGGUUCAGCAGGCUGAUGCAAGCUCUAGCCAGUGGAAGCUUGUGGGAAAUAUAACAUUUGCCCAAAUCUUGAUUGCUCACCCAGUGUACCCACUGAAGGCGAGUGGAUUCACAAUGUAUUUGCUGAAGAAACAUGGUUUCACAAUUUCUUUCUAAAAUCACCAAGCUGUUCAUUUGCCUGAGUAAGGGAAGCCAAAGGAGAGAGAGAAUUGGGAAACUUUGGAGCCCUUUUGUAAUCUAUAGCAGGGGUGAGGAACCUCUGACCUGGGGGCCAAAUGCACCUGCUGCCUGCCUCUCCACAGGGCCCAGGAGAAGGGUGUGCAGUCGGCACAUUGUUCCUCUGCUUGGGGUCACAAGGGGGACCUCCAAAAUGUUUGCAUAUAUUGUCUGAAGACUAGCACUUCCAUUUUGUGUAAGACAACCUAAAAUGCCAUGACGCCUCUUCCUCCCUCUGCUUCCUCUUCUGCCAACAUGCCCCGGCUUACUUGUCCCCAUGGAAACAGAGAGGUGGCGCUGAAGUCCUGGUGAAAGAUAGCGUGACUGGGCAAGGUGAGAGGUGAGUGAGAAGGCAGACAUUCCUUGCUACUCCUGCAGGUGAUGUGCUCUGCCUUCUGAGGGGACUGCCACCUGCCCGUGAAGUGUGAGAUAUUUACCAUGCAGCCAAAUCAACAAUACAUGUUUGCUAGAUAGGCAAAUGACAGGAGCUGAAGCCCUCGGAGUUUCUUCCUGAAUGUUUCCCAGAACGAACUCUGAGAGACACUCCCACUGUGCCGCGCUCUGGGGAGGGUGUAGGCACUUCCUCUCCCUCUUUCUCUCUCCCCAUCCAUCCAUCCAUCCAUCCAUCCAGCAAUGUAGAACCAUCUGCUUGUCUGAGCUCUAAAGCUCAAUCCCCAUCAUCAUCUUGACCAUCAUCUUUGUAACUGGAUCACCAUUUUAAGCCUGCCUGGACAAAGCUGCUGUAUCUGUUACUCUUCAACAAGUAUUCUGAGUGAGUGAAUGUUAUCUUUACCUUUUACAAGCAGUAAUCUGCGUGAUUAUUAAGAGGAGAAAAGGGUAAAGACUUUUUCAGCUGCAAGGGGAUGCACUCUGCUGAACUCACAAACAUGAGGAAGGAAGGAUAAUAUCUAAUCAAUACAUCCUCUCCUAGCAUCAAUACACAUCUUUACUUGAAGGGCAGCAGGUGAUGGCAUGAUGUGAUGUUGAUGUCACGGCAUCACAUUGUGUGUCUGUGUGUGUGUGUGUGUGGUUGGCACCCACAAUCUGGGGCCCAGGUUGGUGCCUCUGGUUACAGGUGUCUUCCCCUUCUGCUGCAACAGGCUCUUCCCCUUUGUCCUCCCACUGAAAAAACCCCAGGAGGGGCAUAAAAAGGACAGAGGAAAGAUUAGCUGCUCACAGUCUCAGUCUUGGAAAAAGCCCUGGAGAGGAGGAGAUAUAGGCAGAUAUGGGGCGUCGGGGACUUUUCAUCUUGGCAGUUGAUUUCAUAGAGGAAGACCCAGUGGCGUAGCGUGGGGGGUGCAGGGGGGGCUGGCCGCACCGGGCGCAACAUCGGGGGGGCGCGCUCGCACUCGCAGCUCUCUGCCCCUACCUGGCUCACUCACUCUCUCUCACUGCAGUGCUGGCUGUGCAAAUCCGAUCCGAGCCGCUGGGUCGCCACCCACUGUGGAGGGGAUGGGUGCCAGGCAUGCGGUGCGGAGAGAGAGCGAGGGACUAUCUGGGGGAGGGACAGUGCAGCGGCCACCCAGCGCAGCGCUGAGCGCGGGAGAGAACCACACCAGACCAGCCCAGGCAGCAGCAAGAAGAAGCUGGCAGCGGCGGCAGGUUAGGGGUUAGGGGGCGCAAAUUACUUGCCUUGCCCCGGGUGCAACCCACGCUACGCCGCUGGGGAGACCCACAGGGAAUGAUCUGCUGUGCUCAUUAGGCCUGACACUCUUUGAAAAUUGUGUUUUUCCUAAGAAAGAGUUUGAACACUACAAUUUAUUGACUAUGACACAGACACAUGUGGCAGUGGAUUUGGAAGGUGAGAGAUUUUUCUCUGUAGCUUAUAUGCAUGCAGUGGAAAACAAGGAAUGCUAGAGUCAAGGCAGAUGUUACUUCCUUGUGGAGCCAGUAGAAACCAGAGAGGGGCGGGGGGAAGUCAAGGGAUUCUGGGAAUCCAAAUGUGAAGGUGAAUGAUAUGUUUAAAUCGAAAUGUGUUAAGAAAAAAUGAAUUAAACAAAUUUCAAAAGGAAAAAGGAAAUGGUAGCUCUGUGUCCUGAACAGAGCCAGGGGUCACCCAAACCUCUGCACCACUUUCCCCUGUGAAAAAUCCUGUGGUUUAGUGCUGAAUUGGAACAAACAGCAAUCAGGUUUUUCUGCAGAUUUCCUGGGAGGAAAGCAGUGGGCACUGGCGGAGGAAGAGGCGUGCGGGGGGAGCGCACUGCUCAUGGCAACUUGAUCCCGGCUGCUCCUGGAAGCUCGAUCCCUAGGGGUGGUGUGACACGCCCCCAGGACACGCGCCCCCACCCAAGGGCGGUGUGCCCCCGGGGUGCUCGCCAGCCCUGCGCCUGCCUGCUCUCUGCCCCCUGGUGCCGGAGCAUGAAUCUCCGCCACUGGCAGUGGGGCAAGGCAAAACCAAUCAGACCCGUGCCUGGAAAGGAUGGUGCAAGUGGAAAACCACUUGGAACUCUGCUUUCCAGGCAUGGGACAAGUGGAAGUGUGUGUGGGGGGAUCCAGAGGUUUCCAAAAUUAUGACUGCCUGUGGGUGCACCACAAGCUCUCCAAACUAUCUGAAGACGUGUGCAUGCACACGAAAGCUCACACCAAUAACGAACUUAGUUGGUCUGUAAGGCACGGAAGGAAUUCUUCUGGAAGGAAUUUUUUUAUUUUGUUUCUCCAAACUAUGUGUGUGGAUGGGAGGAGAAAAAGAGACCCCUUGCAGCUCUUUUCCUCUCUCCUCCUUCUCCUGGUCUCCUCCUUCUGACUUCUCCAGGAACACCACUAGGAGAAGCCUCACGGGUGGCACAGAACCCCAGAAUUCACUAGCCCCUUCCCUGCGAUGUCUAGAAUAAAAUAUUGUGGCCGCCCAGGCAAGCCCUGUCCUGCAGAACUGAUCACAUGAUGCAGUGUAGAAUAGCAAACCCAUUAACGUGGGGGGGGGGCAGCCACCUCAAAUAUUUUAUUGUGGGGGCCAAAGCCCACACAGCUCCUAGGAGUUAGCUCCUAUGCCCCUACAUCUCUGACAAAUGUUCCCCCCAACAAAUGUUGCAUUUGGAAAAAACACACGAUACAACACUCAUUAUUGGCCAUAUAUAUUUAUUUUGGACAUGAUUCAAUGACCUCAUUUGAACAUGAAAGUCAAAUACAGCCUUUCCUUGAGGAGGAGCUUCUAGAAUUCUGGAAAUAAACCCUAGGAGGCUUCAGGCUGAGACCUCCGCUGAUUCAAGCACAAGGCAGCCAAUUUCCCUAAAUUGUGGGUUCUUCUGGAAGUUGGAGAUUUGCUUUCUCUCUCUCAGCUACAGAGUGUUUUGCUAUGGUGCACUCUGCUCUAGUGGUCUGGAUGCUGUAAUUUUCAAACGCAAUGUUUGUUCCACUGAUGAAGUUACACAUAUAUGUCGUCGUACAGCCUCGGGCAGCAGCCUUUAGCUUGGUAUUCCCUGUUGGAAUGAAACACACAGGUGCUUUUUGUGGGAUAUAAAGCUGCAAGUCAAGUCCAACAUUCCGCGAGAGGACUAACUGCCUCUAUGUGGCAGGCAGUUUUGUCAGUUGGUCUGUUGGUCGGUUGCUGCAAGGAGUGUUAACUGGUAACUGCUUGGAUGCAGUCUUCUCAUGAUUCACUACUAUCUAGUAUAUAGUUUAUCUGUUGUGUAACCUAAGCCUGCCUUCAGGAACAACUCUGUAAACCUGAAUGAAUCUGAUAGUAAAGUAGUUUAUGUUAAUAUGACUCAGAUUCAUGUUUGUUUUCUUUAAGAGGGACAGAAAGGGAUUAUCAACCAGGAAGGUAUCAUUAUUGAUAAAAAACCAGAAACGUGUGUGGGCAAUCCAGUGAGGACAAAGCAUUCAGGUAGGGUAUAAAGUGGGGCUUGUGAGGGGUGUGGCCUAGGGAGAGGAGGUGUGGCUAAGUAGGAUUCGAAGGGCCAGAGAGAGAGAGUCCUAGAGGGACGCCUUUGGUCCCUAGACAUGAGGGGCCCUCCCCAAUUAAGAUCCAAAUUUUAGGAUGUAUUUUUAUUUAACAAAAUCAAUAUACCAUGUGACUGCAG
rnacentral:lncRNA from 1 species